UUUUUUUUUUUUUUUUGUGGUGACAGUAAUUAGUUAAUCGCCUAAAGAAUAAGAAACCAAAAAUCCUACAGAAAAAAAAAAAAAAAAUCGCAAGAACAAAGUUCACAAUAUAACUCAAAACCCUAGUAAUUGUCAUGUUAAACUUCAAAACUCCCCUGUACCAUGCAAUCAGUUACCUGACAAUCGUAGAUUGAAAACCUCAAACUAAAACCUUAAUUAGAAAAGUGAACAAGCAAGCAUGAAAUGUAUCUUUUAGAAUUCUAAUAGUAUAAUAGGCACUCUUGAGAAACAACAAAUAGGCGGUGAGUUGAGCUCAUGUUCACAUUCAUCUACGAGGAAAGAGGCCAUGAGCCACGAGUAGGGGUGGGAAGAUCGGGUUUCAGUUAGUGUUUUUCGGGUUUCGGCUUGGGUUACAAUCCGUUGGGGUUGGAAAAUUCAAUCCAAUCGGGUUCAAAACCCAAACACUGAAUUCGAUUUUCGGAUAGAAUUGGAUUAAAAAUUCAGGUCUUCAUUUAGAUUGGGGUUACAAUUCGGGUUACAACCUAAAAUUCCAUAUUCAUUUUCAAAUGAAUCAAAUCCCAACCACCUAAAAUUCGAAAUUCAGUUUCAUAUGAAUCAAAUUCUAGCCCAGAUCAACUGCAAAGGUUGUUGCUUGUCGAUGGAAGAAGAUAUUAGAAAGGUAAAUAAAUAAGAGAAACUCAUAACAGUUGUUAUUUUUGACUUAUUAUUGAUGAUGGCUAACACCUUCCCAACAAACCCAUUUCUUUAAGAAUACCACGACACAGAUUAUGGAAUCAAAAGAGUAAACAACCAAAUUACAGUAUUUAAAUAGCCAUCACCAUUGCAGUAUUUAAAUAACCAUCACCCAAAUUACAGUAAACAACCAUGAAUAAUAGCACCCAAAGUCCCAAAUUACACAAAAAAAAAAAAAAUCUUACCUUUUGCGGCUGACGACGGCGAACGAAGACGGAGGCAGUGACUGGCGACGGUAGAGACGACAGUUUCAGCUUUCGGCUGACCAACGAUUGAGGCAGCACCGGCGCAACUGAAAGGAGGUAACAGUGGCUGCAGCGUGGCGUGGGUGGUUGUCAGCUAAGGGUUAGCGGUUGCGCUAGGGAGAGGAAGAUUACGUGUUUUUUAUUAUGCGUUUUAUACCACUUUUGACUUUUGUUUUUUGUUUUUUUUAAACGGCAAACCCGAUCGGGUUUUUUUUUUAUUCGGGUUGAAACCGAACCGAAAAGAAAACUGAUCGGUUCCAAAUUAUUCUCGGGGAAUGAGAAUAGAGUUAGACUAUUAACACUCCUCCAAAAUUCUUUUAAAGCCGCUUUUUCAGUUAUACUAAAUUUAUUACUAAAAUUACUCUUAUUUCUAAAUAAAUAUAUUUAAUUUGUGAAUUUGUAAAUUUUUUAUUUUUUUUGCUCCUCACAAAUAAUUUUUAUCGGUGAUAAACUUCUUGACAAAAAUCAAUGAAUUAAAUAAAUUAUCUCUAAAAUUAUGAUGUAAAAAGUUUUUGUACGAGUCUAAAAAAAGUCAGAUAAUUUUAUCAAAAUGUGUUUUGUUUAUUAUCAAUAGAUUGUUGUAUUAAUUGAAGAAAAAUUUAUAGAGAAUUUAAGAAAAAAAAUUACAUGUGCGAGUGUGAUAGUAGAGAAAAUAUAAGAAUUUUUUUUAAAGAGAAAAAAUAUAAAAAUUUAAAGUGAGAUAAAAUAGACGUGAGAUAUAUUAAAGUGUUUGUCUUGAAAUAUGAUUGUAAUAAAAGAGGGUUUGAAAAGGAUUAUGGAGGGGCGCCAAUAGUCCAACUCAUGAGGAUAUCCCUGGGCUCGUUUUGUUUUAGCCAACCCAAUUAAUAAAAAAUCCAAGCUUCGGCUAAAAACUUGGGCUGGACCAGAAACAGACGUGAGAUAACCAACCCAAGUAAUUACCAGUUCCUUUUAGACCCCGUUUGCUAUAAUAUAUAUAGUUUAUUAAAAUUGGGUAUAAAAUUGGUGUAAAAUAGAUUCAAAUUUAUCUCAAAUUAAGCACUCUGAUAUUAUAAUUAAGAAAAUCCAGAAUAAUAAAAGUGGAGCCUAAAUAUUUGGAUAAGAAAAGAUGAGCUUGCGCUGGGGCCUCAAACUCAAGGAUCAACAUGGCGUCAAUUUCCUAUUGGAAUAGGUCUUUCAAGUUUUAACACCCCUUUAAAUUUUUUAUAAAACCCUUUUUUUCUCUAUCGAAAUGAUUUAAAUAACUAAAAUUAAUUUUUUUUUUCGGGAAAGAAAAAUUCUUCUUUUAACAAAAUUUUUACACCCAUCCUAUUUCAUAAAUUAUAAUUAUAUUUCCAAAUUUUAAUAAAAGAUUAUUUUAUUGAAAAACUUAUAAGAGUUCAAAGUUAUGGAGAUAAAAAUUAUAUAAUAAAAUUAAAAUAAUUUUAAAUUAUAUAUUUUAAAAAAAUUAUAAAAUGAAAACAUAAAAGAAAGAUCCUUUUCUAAGGUAAUAUUUUAUAGCAAAAUGUUAAUUUUAAUCUACAGGUAUAUAUUUUAUCAAUCAAACUAGUGGUAUUUUAGGAAUAAAAUUAUAAAAAUAAAAAUCGUUGUUGUAAGGAUUUUAGUUUUUAGAGUGAUGUAAAAGCUCCACUCUUUCGUAUCACGCAAGUGUCAGUACACAGACAGCCACAGAUUUCAAGCGGACGACGAUAGAUAGGAUAAGGCACAAAAUAAAUACAAGCGAAAAAUGUUAAGAACGAAUAAAUAAAUAUCUUUAGAAAAGGAAAGUGGGUGGAUCUCCCACGAUUCUUGCUGUUAAAUAAUGUUAAAUUCUUGAAUCUGACAUUAGAGAUUCAGGUUGGAUUCCUGCUCCUGGGGGCCCAAUUAUUCUAUGCCACUACAUCAUGAAACUGACAACUACAAUGACUUUCAUUAUCUUUAAUGCGUCAGAAUUGCCGUGCGUGGCAAGUGGCCAAUAGCAGCAUGACAGUGGCCGCUGCCCAAUUGCAAUUAUUUUCAGCGUUUGCAAAUGCCUACGAGGCUGCGAGGUUGAUUCCCCGUGAGCUUGAAAACGAAAACACCCCAGGCUGCGGGCUGCGGCUGCUAAUUAUGACUGCUUUGUGUCUUUUUUUUUUCCUCUUCUCAAUUAUUAUAAAAAACAACAAUCAUCCGAUAAAACAGCAAAUGCAUCUUCCCGGGACCCAGUCCGAAAUUCAGAAUCUUUUGAGAUGAAACUAAAAUUGUUGCGUUGAAGCACGGCUCCUCUUUCACUUCCUCCAAUAAUUCCGCAGUACACGCCACUCAGGCACUGGCGGUAGUGGCGGUUGGUGGGCUCGUCUCACACUCUCAGUGAAAAGUUAGAGGUCACAAGCAGAUUCAUGUUGCGCGCGGAAGGGAAGGGAAGGUUAGCCAGUCGACGCCACAAUAAAUUUGAGUAACCAUUUAUGCUGCACUACACGUAUAUCUAUUUAAAUUCUGAAUAAAUUUUUAAAUUGUAAUAUUUAUAGUAUGGUAAUCGAUCAUAAAAAAAAAAAGAAAAAAGAUAAAAAUCGUACGUAAACUACGCAAUAGUCCGAAAUUGAACAGCACAUGGCUUGUCACUGUGUUUCGAGGCUUAUUAAUAACCUGUACGUGUCCUUACUGGCAAGUGGCAACCUAGGCGUUCGUGUGCGCUGCUUUCGGUGGCCCAAAACCGAAAGAUAGAUGAUGUUGAUUUCUGUGAAAGAGGACUUGAAAUGAAACCAACCAAUGUGGAAAACUUUAUCACGGCAAAUAUUUGGAAUCCACAAUGGUCAAAUCUACUGUUAUCUAUCUAUAUAUAUUUGGACCGAGGGCUACAAGGUGAUUCUCAAGCAAGAUUGAUUUUUUAUUUUUAUUUUUUAUUGAACAGUCUUGAGCUUAAGGCAUGGAUAUUUUUUACAGUCUAAAUAUCACUCGGGUAGGAAACUUAAAAUCUCAAUUAAUAUAAGUAAAUCGUGGGUAUAUAUUAUGGGCAGGUUCAAAUUUGUGAGAGUGAAUUCUAACAAUUGGUGUGAUUUAUGGACAGGUUCAAAAUGGAAACCCUUACUAUUAUCAUAUGAUAGCAUUGAAUAUAAUAAUUCAAUAAAUUUGAAUUAAUUUUAGUGUGUAUUUGGGAUUGAGGUUGAGCAGCUGUAGUUUAAAAAGUUACAGUACUAAAGUAUUUGGUAAACAUUAACUGUUGUAACUUGUAAGCUAUGUUGAUAUAAUUCUUUACUUGUAUAAUAAAAAAUUUAUUAUAUCUUUAAUAAAAUUUUUUAAAUUAUUAUUUAAAUUUUAUAUUUACUAUAUAUUAUUAACUUUUGUUUGAUAGUGACAUCUUUGUUUUCAUAGCAAUUCUAGCUUAAGAGGUACAGUACUUCAAUUCCAAACGGAACCUUAAUGAAUUUGACUAGAUAUUUAACGUCCCUCCUGCUAAAAAAAUUAUUGAAUAAUUCAUCAAUUGGUAAUUUUUUUAUUAAUUCAAUUCAUGAUACUGGUAAAGAAUUUCAAAAUCAAAGGUAAAAAAGGGGGACAAAAGGUGGUUGAAGUGUGCAAGCAGGGAAAGGAUUCCUUAACCAAAUGGGCAUCAUCGCUUGCUGUUUACUGCCGAUUCUGUUUUGUCUUACAUGAAUGAUUUAAAUUGAUUCCAACUGAAUUCUGAUGAAUCGGCAAGGGCCAUAGGCCGUGGCCCAUGGUCGCGUUAUCUUUAUGUGCACGAUUCCAAAAGAUUCCCAUCGAAGUCAUUCUCACAACAAAGAGGCCAAGUUGAAAAAGUAUCUCGCUUGACAUUUAUUCCAAGUUUUGGUUAGAAAAAAAAAUGAGAUGAUAGGACAUACGUGUGUGCUUCACCAUUCGAUAAUUUCAGAUUCGUUUGAUUGAGCGAUUCUUAUCUCUGUUCCCCGGCUUAUACUUUUUUAUAAUUUAAUAAAAGAAAUUAUUAAAAAUAUCACAAAGAGUGUUUUUAUGCUUUAGAAAACUCGAGAGUUAGGUAGAGUAGAUUUCUCCAAAUUUAUUUCUAUGAGAUUUAUGUAAUUUCAAGCCAAUUUAUGGGUUACAUUCAUUAUUAUUGUGCUAAUCACGGCUAAUAUCCGUUUAAUAAUAAGAAUAAUAAAAUUAAUGUCAUAUUCAAGAAAAUCAAAGGACGAAACACUAUAUAUAUAGUUAUUAUCAAAUGUGGAAAAAAAGAGAGAGGUAACACAUUUAUAAAUUAAGUUAUUGAACUCAACAAUGAAUUAUAAAAAAUAAAAUGUCUUAUACUUAAAAAAAAAGAUUGUGUCUUUCAUAUUUUAUUUACAAGGUACAUGAUGAGUCUAUUGUCUACAUGCAUAUUAUAUACGUAAAUUCCGUUCACAGUUCAUCGUAUUCUCAUGAAUUUUAUUUUAUACACUCUUUUAUUAGGAUAAACCCUAACAUACAUUUAAUGUAUGUUACAGCCACUCACACCACUCAUUGUUCAUGUGAAUAGUGUAACAUACGUUAUGUUAAAAGGAUCCUCUUAUUAGUUAUCAAAAGAUUUUCGAAUUUUACAAUAAUAACAAAAAUAAAUAGUCGUUUGCACUAAUUUUGUGUUCCGUGUAAUACGGUCGGGUGUGUUUUCCAGGAAAAUGAAUAAUUUUUAUUUUUUUCUGGGAAAAAGAACAAAGACGUGAUGGGCCGAAACUCUCUUCGUUUGACGGGAUGAAAAGCAGACGAAAGCAGCCAAUACAACAACAUUACCUAACGAUUACCGGGGCGGCUAAGUGACCCCACGUUACAUCGCCCGUUUAUCCAACCUCGAAAGGGACCCAACCGCAGUCAUGCUAAAUUACCCCGGCAUCCCCUGCACUUCACACUUCCACAAUUCACGGCACGAACCUCAUGGAUCUUUCUUUCAUCAAUGCUGACGUACGGCUGAGACGCCUGGUGGCUGGUGCAGCUGACAUCAACUUUUGUUAGAAGAUCGGUUGCAUCUGGACCGUCCAUAAGAAAAUUAUCCUCACUUAGGCUGACGUGUACGUGCCAUCUGCAACCUCACUCGCUUUACACUAUCUAAAAUUCUCAAUUUCUCUAUGCAGAAUUAGAAUAAAGUAACGCUCAAACGUAAAAUCAACGCGACCCCAAACGUUUUGAUGUAUUUCAUUUAAAUUAAGAGUUUGAGCAGUCUGAAAAAUUAAUAUAACAAAAUAAUUUAUUAUCUUUAAUAAGCAGUGAAAUGAGAGUUGGGAUAUUAUAUUUGAGCUCAUAAAGAAUAGCAUAUAAAUCUAAUCAAGAAUCUCAUACGCUAUGUCGACUCAUCUAUUAUUUACAUUAUUUAUUUAAUAUAGUUUUUUGAUAUUUUUAAUAAAUACCCAUUUAACAUGAUUUUAAUAAAUAUUUUAGAAUAUUUAUAAUGCUGCAUAAAGUAUAAUCAACUUAAUUUUAAUUAUAACAAAUAAAAAUUAAAAUAUGAUCAAUAUAAUAUAGUCUUAAGAUUUCUAAUUUCCAAGUAUAAUUAUUGAACAAAUGAUUCUGUCCUAAUCGUUAGUUUUAACUUUUAACCAAAUAAGUUGGUAAUUUUGUAAUAAAUAGGGUAUUGAUUAAGAAUUUUAUAAAUUAUUUUACCCAAUUGAAAUAAAUUAAAACAUUUUUACCCCUUAUUAAUAUUUUCCCGUUUAAAAUAAAAUAACAAAAGAAAAAAUAUAUUGUCAGCAGUGCAUCACUCGGUAUUAUAAAUAACAGAGCUCUUCCUCCCCACAACAACAUUUCCAUAACUAGCUCCAGCAACCAAUCAACCCCCUUCAAAAAACCAUGACGCGCCUUGCCUCCGGCGUGCUAAUCACGCUCCUAGUCGCUCUUGCAGGAAUCGCCGAUGGAAGCAGAGACAUAGCAGGUGACAUUCUGAAGCUACCAUCGGAAGCCUAUAGGUUCUUCCAUAAUGGUGGGGGAGGGGCAAAGGUCAACGAUGAUGAUGAUUCUGUCGGCACGAGAUGGGCCGUCCUGCUUGCCGGAUCUAAUGGCUUCUGGAAUUACAGGCAUCAGGUCUGCUAUCUGAAUUUUAUUUUUUGAAAUCACGUUUUAUUUUAAUAAAUUCCUUGGAAUUACCAAGUUUUAUUCUUUUCGUAAAUAUUAUAAUGAAAGUUUAUUUUAUUUUUGUAAAUUUUUUUCUUUUUCUUUUUUUCAUUUUUUUUUCAGAAAGUGAAGUAAGGUUAAGGUUUUCUUUGAUGCUUGUAUUUAAAAAGCUCGCCAUAAAUUAUGUCUGAAUAUUGAGAAUCUCAUUUUGCGCGUAACUGUUUAAUUUACGUAAGCAGCAAGUAAGCCGAGACAAUCAGACAAAAGAAAGAAUGUGAAAUUCAUUUCAUGUUUUCGGUUUUUUUUUUAAAAAAAACCAAAUUUCCAGUUUGUUUGUGCAACUUAAGCACUAUCUCUUAAAAAAAUUAAUAAUAAUAAUAAUAAUAAUAAACAAACAAACAAACUAUCACAUAGCUUGACAUAUUUCUUAAUUGUAUCAGUCUGGUUAAAGGUUUUCCCCAAUAAAAAAUUUUGGUUAUUUCUUUGAAAAACAUAUAUAUAUAUAUAUAUAUAUAUAUAUUACUUUCAUUUAUUUAUUCAUCAUCUCAAGUGAAACUUUUGUGAUUUGCCUGUGAGUGACAAUUGUUUGUGUACACUGUCAAUGAUUGUAUGAAUCAGAGGCAAGAUUUCUUACUUUAAAUAAGUGGGUAACUGUAUUUGCACCUUUUGUGUAAGCCGCUUGAUGUAAAUAUUGCUGUUAGGGGAUUUGAUUUCCUAUCAAGUCCACUUUUCAUAUAUAUAUAGAGAGAGGGCAUUCUUACUUUGUUAAGGUGAGAAUGCCAGCAAAAGACAAAAAAUAAAAAUAAAAAUUUCAAUAUACUAAUAGAUUGAAAUAUAUGUUUUUUCGUAUUUUAGUGAUAUCUUAUUUUGUUAAAGUGAGGAUGUCCUCAACAAAGAAGGACUCUCUCUCUAUAUAUACAUGCACACAUACAUGCUUUCUAAUUAUGAAUUUCAGCAUAUUAUACUGUCUAUUGAUGUCAUAAUCAUAUUCUGUGUAGAGCUUCAUAAAUCAUUUUUUGUAUUUAUUUUAUUUUAUUUCUAUUUCAGGCUGAUAUUUGUCAUGCUUAUCAACUCUUGAGGAAAGGUGGGCUGAAGGAUGAAAAUAUUAUUGUUUUCAUGUAUGAUGACAUCGCUUUCAAUGAAGAGAACCCAAGGCCUGGAGUCAUCAUUAACCACCCCCAUGGCGAUGAUGUUUACAAAGGAGUUCCAAAGGUCUCUUUCCCUCAAGAGUAAUUCUAGGUUUACAUAAUCCUCUACAAACUCUACUCAUAUAACAUGUUGUGGCAAUUUUUCAAAGAAAUAAAAGCAAAUAAAUAGUGGGGAACAUAUGAUAGUGAUAUAAUAAUGUCACAUCCGUUCGUAUGGGUAGAGUUGUAUAGGAGCUUGUAUUCCUAUUCUCACUAUUGCAUCAAAGAUCAACCAUCUGAAUAUGUGAUAAAGUUCUUUAUUACUACUACUACUAUUAUUUUUUUCAUGGUUUCUUCUUUCAUGUGGCAGGAUUACACGGGGGAAGAUGUUACUGUUGAAAACUUUUUUGCUGUUGUCCUGGGAAAUAAAACAGCUCUUACAGGGGGCAGUGGGAAGGUUGUGGAUAGCGGCCCCAAUGAUCAUAUUUUCAUAUUCUACUCAGAUCAUGGUGGCCCUGGGGUGCUAGGUUAGUAGCCACGAUUCUUCAUAAGUUCCCCACUCUGUCUUAUAUUGUAUGUGUUUUUUUUGUGCUGUUUGAAUAGUGGCUGUAGUUACCCGAAUUAGAUGGUGGUGGUCCUUGGGCUUGGAUUUCUUCCAUCUUAUGGUCAAUUUCUGGUUUUAGUUCAGCGCGUGUCAUAAAACUUGAUUUUGAUUCUGAAGUGAUUUUUAGAAAAUAGACACCAUAGAAUUGGAUUAUCUUUUUUUCUUUUGGCCCAAAUCAAACCGGUUUUGGUGGUAUAUGACUGUCACUAGAAAAACCCUGUUAGAGAACGUCUCACAUGGUUUAAAGAUUCAAAAUUAUUUUCUUUAACCACUAAAGGCAUUUCUUUUAUGGUAAUAUUAUAUUUACUGAGUCGGGAUUCAUAGUUUGUAUCUCAAGUGAUGAAUCACCAAUCAUUAAUGGUCAUGUUUAAGUUUUGGUUGAUUUUAUCAUUUAUCAAUAGGGUGUCAAUCUUGCAACGUCAGAUGCCACAUCACUUGCGGUGCAAGCUAUGUAUAUAAACAAAUUCUUCUAUUAUUAUUAUUAUUAUUAUUUAUUUAUUUUCAUAUUUGUGAUUUUACUGGGAAUAAAAAUUUGAUUGUGUUGUUAUGCUGUUGCAUGUUGUUUGAAGCCUAGGCCAACAUGACUCAUGUAAAAAUUGGUUACUCAGAAGGUUAAAAGUGUAUUGGUUUUACUUGAAAUAUCCUACCUUAUUUUUUCAACAGAGUGGAUAUAUAUGUUAUAACCGACACUAUUUUUAAACUUCUGUUGUAAAAUUGACUUCUUAGUUCACCUGUUUUGUGAUCUAUUUUAGGGAUGCCCACCAGUCGAUACAUAUAUGCUGAUGAACUGAUCGAUGUCUUAAAAAAGAAGCAUGCUUCUGGGAACUACAAAAGCUUGGUAAGUAAUUGGUGAACUGCCAUUUGACAUGUGUUCUAUUUCGAUAAAAGUCUUGGCAAAUUGAAAUUUUUGUUGGUUUCAAUAUCAAAAAAUUUAGGUAUUUUAUCUCGAAGCCUGUGAAUCUGGAAGUAUCUUUGAGGGUCUUCUUCCUGAGGGCUUAAAUAUCUAUGCAACCACAGCUUCAAAUGCUGAAGAGAGCAGUUGGGGGACCUAUUGUCCUGGAGAGAUUCCUGGUCCUCCCCCUGAAUAUAGCACUUGUUUGGGUGACUUGUAUAGUAUUGCUUGGAUGGAGGACAGGUAUGACAACAUUUAUGAUUUUAUUUAUUUCACUUUGGCAACAUUUUUCUGUUUCCUUGAGUAACAACAUGUCUAUGUCUGUCUUCUGUAAUCUCUGAAAAUAGAAGAAAAGUACUGGUUUGACCGAAUUUAUUAACUUACUGAACAAAACUUUUCUAAAAAUUUAUCAUUUUGUGCAGUUUUUUUCCUAGAGAAGCAGUGUGUGCGUGUGCCUUUUUUUUUUUUUUGGGUGAAUUUUAAUAUUUUGACCUUUGCACAGUGACAUACACAACUUGCGGACAGAAACUCUUCACCAGCAGUAUGAACUGGUAAGAUCUCAUUGAGACUUUAUUACUUCAUCGAUGUUCAUUAUACACAGAUAAUGGUUAACUCAGUGCAAAUAAAAUUAGUAACAGUUGGCUUUUUAAGAAUCCUAGAUCCUGCUCUUACCUGCUUGUUUUGAUAACCGCUAAAAUCAGUUUUUUUUUAUUUUCGAAAUUUCAGGUUAAAACAAGGACUGCUAGUUACAAUUCGUAUGGCUCUCAUGUCAUGCAAUAUGGUGAUAUCGGUCUUAGCAAGAACAAUCUCUUCACGUACUUGGGUACAAAUCCUGCAAAUGAUAACUACACUUUUGUGGAUGAGAACUCCUUAAGGCCAGCAUCUAAAGCUGUUAACCAGCGAGAUGCCGAUCUCUUGCAUUUCUGGGACAAGGUAUGUAUCCAACAAUGCACAUAGCUCAUUAAAUUGAAUGCUGCCUCUCUAGCGUAUUUUAUUCAUUUACUUUUUCAAUCCCCAAUGUGGGGAUGGAUCACAAUUCUAUGUUCAACAUGGGUUUGAAAGUUUGUCAUCUCGUUGUUGAGGUUGGUGUAAACUGUAUAAGGGUCUUAUGAUUGGUUAAGUUGGAAUUAGGAAAAGAGGUUAGUGAUGUAACAAAGCAUGGUAGUAGCUUGAUAUUAAGAAUUUUGGAACCAUUUUUAGGUAUGCCAGUUCUCUAUUAUACCCAAAGCAGUAUAAGCAGAGUCCAUUGGCCAUUGGGUACAAAACCCCUAUAGAACAUGUUGUUUCUAUUUGCUUGAGAUGUGGAAGUUUUGGUUACCCUGCUAUGUUACCUGUGGAAAUAACAGUCAGAACGCCCUAAAUAGAUUUUUUUUUUUGGGGGGGGGGGGGGUGAAUUGUAAAAUAGCGACCCUUUCUGCAGUAUGUCUGAAAAUUUUCUCCUUUCUACUUAAGAAUAUACCUCACUUUGCCUAUCCGUUACUUUAAUAGUACCGCAAGGCACCUGAGGGCACUCCUAGGAAGGCUGAAGCUCAGAAGCAGUUUUUUGAAGCAAUGUCUCAUAGAAUGCAUGUAGACCACAGCAUCAAACUUAUUGGAAAGCUCUUAUUUGGAAUUGAGAAAGGUCCAGAGAUCUUGAACACUGUUCGACCUGCUGGUCAGCCUCUUGUUGAUGACUGGGGCUGCCUCAAAUCACUGGUAAAAUUCCUGAUCAUCAAUUCUUGUAUUUUUUAAUCCCUUGACAACACUUAAAAUAUCAUUAACAAGGUUCUUUUCUGUCUAUUCCUCUGUGCAGGUGAGGACUUUUGAGUCGCACUGUGGAGCUCUAUCGCAAUAUGGAAUGAAGCACAUGCGUUCUCUUGCAAACAUCUGUAAUACAGGAAUUGGGAAAGAGAAGAUGGCUGAAGCAUCAGCACAAGCCUGUGAAAAUAUUCCUUCUGGUCCUUGGAGUUCUCUCGACAAAGGAUUCAGUGCAUAAAGAAGCCGAGAACUGUGCGAAUAUCAUAAGCCAGUCUUGAAAUAUGUUAGUUUUCAUUAUAGUCGCCAAUAUGGCAAUAUCUAUUUUCAUUUGGCUGAUGAUUGCUUCCAUUUAUGGCAAUGUCUAUUUUCAUUUGGCUGGUGAUUGCUUCCUUGUAAUUAUUAUAUUUAAAAGCUCUUCCCUGCCAGACCGCAGUUGUAAUUUGAUAGUAUAUAUUUUGGAUGUAUGCGAUGCUAUUUUAUGCUUAUGUAGCUAUAUUUGUUCCUGAUUUGUAGACCGUGCAACUCAACCCUCUUCGUGGUGUUGCUCUAAAUAUUGAAAUAAAAGCUCUAAUUUUGGAUUAAAAAAGAUCGUAUUGUUCAGCAAAUAUGACAUUUUUGUUACCAGGGUAUUAGAACUUCUCACGGUAUUAAAAUAUUGUUAUAUCAUGUUUGUUAAUUACUCAUUUUAUUUUAACAUAGUCAACACACCCUUAAAAUAUAAUCAUAGUAAGUAGCAAGCAAGCAGAACAUAAAAUUUUCAUCAAACAAAUUGUAAAGGAAAAUUACUUUCAACUUUUAAGUCAUGGCUGUAAUUAUUGCCAGACAUUUCAAAAGAGUCUUUUAGACAAAUUUCUCCGCUGCAUUAACCGAUAACGUUGGCUUAGGAUCAAGCGUUUCUUCCUUCAGCUUCGUUUUCCCCUUCGUCUUCUUGAAAAUCAAAAUAACAAUCCUCCACACUUACGUAAACAAAUUUCAAAACCAAAAUUCACACCCCAAUCUUUCUUUUAACGGAAACUCUUCCCCAGAGUUUCUGCCUGUAGGACUUAAAUAUUUUCCUAAUAAAUCCUUGAUAUAAAACAUUAAAAUAAACAGGGGUCGAUCAUCUAGUCAGCGGCAAAAACAAAGUAAUAAUUCAUUCACGGAAAUACAAAAGGUAACUUAUGGUCUUCUAACACUGUGAUAUACCGACUACUACUAUAUAUGUUUUCCAGAACACGAACCGAGCAAAUACAAAUCCAGACCAAAAUUGCAAAUACUCCCAUCCGAAUGCAUAAACCUGUACGAGAGAACCCCGCACAAACACCACCAAUCAUAUCUGCCAAUUCACGUAGCAGGACUUCCCCCUUCCAUAACUUCAGCAAGCUGGUUUAGCUUGGAGAUUUGCCUAUCUUGUCAGCAUUGAUCUAGCAAGCCUGUAAUAACUGAUUUACUGGCAAUCAGAGGGAGCAAGUAGCAUAAUAAAACAAUCAUAGACUUUUGCCUGGCAUUAUUGUAUUAAUCAAUUUCAUCUUUGUUUUCAUAAAAGACGCAUACAAAAUAAAAUUAAAUAACAAUUUAAGUUCAGAUGUGACCAUGAAUCUAUCCUGCCAUCCAUUUUAUUCUUUGUACAAAAGUUAAUCAGUCUAGGUAGGCUGACGAAAAACACCUAGAGAGGCCACACCAUCAUAGUCAUUCAGGCAUGUCUAUGCAAAUCCAAGAUGCUUAGAUGCUAAAAUUCACAAAUACCCAAGCUUUAUGUGUAGUUAGCAUGCCUUUCAAUUAACAGCAUGACAUACAGGUUCCAUUUUCUUUCUCUACAUUACGAAAGCAAUUUCCCAUGCCAUUAUGUAUUGCAAAUUUAUGUGAGAUAAUAAAGGCAACUGGAGACAUCAGCUUAGGUCUGUCUAUACUUAUAAUAACAGACUAUGCUAAUUAUUGGUAUUUACAGGCUUAAACAUACAAAGAUAAAACAACUUGUAAAAUCUCAAUUUACUUUCUAAAAGAAAUUUAAAACCUUUUCGUCAAUAGAAGCAUAAAAAAGUAAGUUCCAACAACAGAAAUAAACUCACCAGCAAUACAGCAGAUAUCAGAUAGCUGCUUCAGUCUCAACGUCUGCCCCGAUCAUCUUCAUGCUUGUACGCAUACCUCCUUCUCUCACUUGACCGAGAAUCAUCAUAUCUAACUCUCUUGGAGUAAUCCGCUUGUUUGUCCAGCUCAUUUCCCUUACUUUCUUGCACUUCUCCCUCCCCUCUCCCAUGCUUUCGACUACGCCUCUCUUCUUCCUCCCCUCUCUCAUGCCUUCGACUACGCCGCUCUUCUUCCUCCCCUCUUCCAAGCCUUCGACUUCCUCGCUCUUCUUCCUCCCCUCUCCCAUGCCUUCGACUUCCUCGCUCUUCUUCCUCCCCUCUUCCAUGCCUUUGACUUUCUCGCUGCAGCUCUUCAUGAUCCUUUCCGUGCCUUCCAUAUUUGUGUUCUUCAGCUCUCCGAUGCCUUCCCCCUCUAGCCUCCUCUUCAUCCAUGUUUUGCCUUCUAAACCCUGCAUGCUCUUUGGAAUCUUCAUCAUCCCCCCUACGACCAUCCUCAUUCCCACGUGGUCUGGCGUUCAAUUCAGACUCCGGUUUUGCAUCUGCAUGAUGGCCUUCGUGCAUUGCAUCCUUCCCAACAAUACUACUCCUUAACCUUGCUUCUGGUCGCUCCUCCCUGUUUGCCUCAUCAUACUUCCUCUUGGCCAUCCUCAUUUCCUGAUGUUCAUAGGUAGACCUUCCCAUAUCUGCAGCAUCUCUUUCAUACUGGUACAGACUUCGCUCCUCUAAUUUCCUCAGUGCGUCUAACAUAUCGUCAUCUUUUCGACCAUUUCUUUCUCUUUUCCUGUCACUUCCAGCAGGACUGUACCCAUGAUCACUUCGUCCACUUCUACCACUCAUACCAUUUCCACUUCCAGUUCUGUUUUCACCCACACGGUUCUUUCCACUUUUCUUACGUCCGUAAUCACUUGCACUGCUGUCUGAAUCUCCGUCACCACUUCCCUUGUCAGACUCACUCCUAUUUCUAUUGCUAUUGUCCAAAGGAGACUCAUUUUCGAUCGCUUCAGGCCUUCCAAGGGAUGCUUUAUAAUUUUUCCUCCCAUAGCUGGAAUCUGAGUUUUCAUUAUCAGAAUUAUGCCUCCUACUUAUCCUGCGCUUCUCAAUUUUAUUGCCACUGUCAUCAUCAGUGUCAUUCCUUCUCGAUCUCCUCUUUAUCACAUCUGCAUCAUCAACAUCAUAGCCUUGCCUGUUUUUCCCAUAACUAUCAUAGUUGCUCUUUUGGUGAGACCUUAAGUCAAAAUUUUCUCGCUCCCCUCUGCGGCUUCCACCCAGCUGAUUGCCCCUUUUCUCAAGAUGACUUUUAUCCUUUUCCAUACCAAUACCAUUAUCGAAAUCAUCCUCAGAAUCAUGACGUACACUUGCUUUCACAUGCCUACUCCCCUUCCGAGUCCUGUGCUUAGAUGAAUCUUCAUCAAAAUCAGAACCAUUAUCCGAAUCAUGUCUCCUAUGACUUUUUCCAUAUUUCUCAACUUCCUUCAUGGAACUAACCUUACCAGUGUCAUCAGAAGAAGAAUAAUCUGAACUAUCAAUAGAAUGUUUUCUGCUUUUCUUGUGCUUCUUCGAAGAGUUCCUCCUUUUCUUAGGGCUUUCACCAUCACUGUCACUGUCACUUUCACUAUCACUUCUCAGGCUAACCUUACGAUUCUUCUUUGGCACCGCUCUUGCAUGCUUACUGCUACCAGCGUCAUCAGAAGAAGAAUUAUCUGAACCAUCACUAGAAUGUUGUCUGCUUUUCUUGUGCUUCUUUGAAGAGUUCCUCCUUUUCUUAGGGCUUUCACUAUCACUGUCACUGUCACUUUCACUCUCACUCCUCUGGCUAACCUUACGAUUCUUCUUGGGCAUCCUUCUUGCAUGCUUACUGCUGCUAUCAGAAUCAGAAGAAUCGUCUCCAUGUCUUCUCUUUCUGCCAUUACCCUUAUGGUGCCUGGUCUCAUCCUUCUUAAUUUUCUCAUCUUUAACAGUCUUUUUCUGAUCAUCCUCCACAAUUUCCCCCUCUUCUAUCACACGUCUCUUCCGAACAUUCUCUCUAUCCAAAAAGGCAUGUUCGCUUUUCUCAUGCCACUUACCGUCAUCAUUGGAAGCAUUCUUUCGACCAUUUCUUGGUGCAACAUCACUUCCUUCAGCCCCUUGUUCACUAGCUUCAAUCGUACCUAUACCAAGUGCAGCUCUAAACAUUUCCAUUUGUUUCUCCUUUCUAGCAGCAAUUUUAUGGGUCUCUGUUUCUGAUACCCUGAACAAGCAAGGAGAAAAUUAGAAGUUAAUUCCUAGGUAACCUAUACAAAAAUUUCCUACUGAGAAGACAUGAUUAAUCAAGUAAAAUAACUCGGGUAACAGAAAUCUCAAGUGUAAAAUAAACCUGAAAAUGGAACAACUAUUACAAAGACGAAGGAAUUUCCAAGAAACAAGAGUAAGGGAAAUUAGAAAAAAAUUAAUUCCCCUUUAAUGAAUCCCAUUCUGAAUUACAUAUAUGCCUCCAGAACAAAGCCAUCAAGGAAGUGAUUCAACAAUCCCCUUGCAGCCGAAAGGAGAGGCAAAAUUGCAGGUUCCCUAAUUAUACAUGCUUCAAACUUCAAACACAAGCAGGACAUACUAAAAACAUACCAAUUGCUUUAUCACACAUAUAAAACAACGCACAAGAAAACUAACCAUUCAUAAUAUUAUAGCAGUGAAAAUAAAUAAAACUGACACGCUUAAAAGUUACACACAUGAAAAAAUGUCUACAAAAAGACAUCUCUACAAACUGAAGUGGUAUGAGUACUUGAACUGUACUUGUUAUUUUUCACUGUUCCAAUCAUAUCAUGUCACCUCAAGAAUGAAAAUUUGUAUGUAUCUUAUUAUUCAUAGCAAGAAUUACUUACUUUGCAUCAGCGGCAGGCCCACCACUUUCCGCUGAAGCUGAGGCGACUUCAAGAGUCUUCCGAGCCUCCUCAAGCUUCUCGGCAAUUUCAGCCUCAGUGUAACCCUGAUCAACGAGUUUGUCUUCGAGCACCACCAAUUUGAGUUGAAUCUGGCGCUUACGCUCAUGCUCGAGGAUCUCCUGGUUCGGUUUUCUGGUGACUCCAGCCGUUCCCUGACCCGCUUCGAAUCCCUUGACGCUGUCGGUAACCCGACCUGUUUUGGCCUUCACAAAAAACUUGUUCGUUUGUAUGUAUCCGUUGGUUCCGGACCCCCUCGGGGUCUGUAAGCCGAUUCCGUUAUACAUCUAACGAAAAUACAAAACAAUUCUCAAUCUUCAGCAAAAAUGAAUUUAUAGAUCUUGAAUUUCAAGAUCCCGAUGCAUGUGAUAUUUCGAUCGGAGAAAAAAAAAAUCUCACAAAUAAAAGCACGAGAAUAGAACAAUUGGAAAGAAAACAAAACGCACCAGUGAUUAAUCGGUUGAUAUGAAACGUGAUAUCUGAUUGAUUUAGUGUUAUCUUCUUUCCCCUUAACUCGGUGAUUCUUCGUUUCGGCAAUUCAGAGAAAGAGCGAAACCCUAACCUGAUCGCUUAGUGCUUGUAGGGACAAUUUGAUUUGACAAUAAUGUCCUCCAUUCGAGGCCAAUGAAAUCUUAGAUAUGAAGGAUGUUUAUGUCUUUGACCUAAACUUUUUGAAUCCGUUUUUAUCUCGAUUAAAUAAAUAUCAUCCCAUUGAUUGAUAUCGACCCUUUUUUUUUUUAAUUAUGUUAUACAGAUAUGAUUAUUGAUAUUAACAUUAUAAUUAUAAUAUUUAUAAUUAUAUUAAACAACUGAGAUCACCACCAUACAUUAAUCUAUUGAAGCAUUUGUUCAAAUACUUUAAACACUCUCUAAUAUUUGAGGGAUGCCUACUCUACUUAUAUUUUGUAAGGGAGAGACUGUCUACACUCAAUUAAUUGAUAAUUAAGAAAAAAAUUGAAAAUAACUUCCAUAAUACUCUUGUGGAGGCUUGAAUCGUUACACUCAAUAUUAUAAGUAUAAGACUUCUCUCAUUGAACCAAAGGCCAUUGGUGAUUGAUACAGACCUUUAGAUAGUACUACAUAGACCUUUUCUUUUAUUUUUUUUCCUUUAUUUUCCCCUUUAAUACAGAUUUACAUAAUCCAUAAAUCGUAAUAUAGAGAGGUCUAAGUAAUCGGAACACCGACAUUACUUUCGUGUCGGUCUUGUUUUGUUUUGUUUUGGCUUGUCUUUUUAUGUGAUUGUUAUCUCAUAAAGUAUUGUUGUUAUGAACAAUUUUAGAGCAAGCUGAUCUUGUGCACGCCCUCGCGUACGUUAUUAUAGUGUGCGAUUGGCUAUUAUGUUAAUGAUGAGUUCUUAUUAGGGGCUUUCGAGCUACAGCUGAGCUUCCUAUAAUGGGAGCUUACCACGCAUGUCAUAACAUGUAUGACAGCGUGUAUUAUAUAAAGUUGUUUGUGUUAGAUAUAUCAGAUGGUAUUUUCAAAGCACUCUGUUUUUUUUUUUUUUAAUACUGAUUAAUCAUCAGAUUACUGCAUUACACAGAUAUUUACAACAACUGCUUAUUGUAGCAGAGAUAUUACACUGAUAUUUACAAUCAGAUAUACAUGAUUGGGACUUACAUUAUUACAAUGAAUUCUAUGAAGUACAUGCCCAGACAAAUAACCCCUCACAGGAGAGGGAUGUCCAUACUCCACUUGCAUUUUGCAAGGGAGAAGGAUUUUUUAAAUAUAAAGAACAUUUAGCCCCCACAAAAGCUUUGUAGGGGCUAGAACCGCUGCCCUCACAAGUAUUGUGUUGUGAGGGCAGCAGCCCACCACUUCGGCCAAGGCCGAAGCGGCGCACUCUGUUAAAAUAGUUGAGUGGUAAACUGCAACUCUCACAAGUUACCAUUGUGAGAGCUGCGAUUUAAGUUCUUAUAGCAGAUUUCUAUUUCUUCUUCUAAUUAAAAAUUGGGUUUAAAAAUUGGGUAUAUAUUAGAAUCUCUCCUGUUAAUUAAAUGCAGAACAGAUGUCUAAGAGCUGUAAUUUAAGUCACCAGAAAAGACUUCUAUUCCCAAUUAAAAAUUGAGUAAAAAUAAGUUUCUAUUCUAUUAAAUGGUGAGUAUUGAGUAGAGCAGAUGGGAAAUUUGUAACCUACCCCCAAAUAAAUUGACAUUUUGCACCACGCCCCCAAUUCCAUUAUUUUAUCAGUUAAGUUUAACGGUGGAGGGGUAAAAUUGAAAGUUUAUUUCUUAAAUUAAUUUUAAUGGGAAUUCUCUUUAUUGUAAUUAAAAUAAAAAUCUUUAAAAAAUUAAAGAAAAAAUAAUAGUGGUGACAAUGAACAUGUAAGAAGAAUUGUUUUUUUUAUUGCAAUUGAAAAAAAAACCUUAAAAAAUUAAAUGAGCUAAAAAUUUUGUUUUUUUACAUAGAGGGGCAUUUUUGUCAUUCAAUCAAAAGUUAAACGGAGCCGUUAAACUUAACUAAGAAAAUAACGGAAUUGGGGGCGUGGUGCAAAAAUGUCAAUUUUUUUGGGUGCGCAGUGCAACAAGUCAAAUUUGUUGGGGACGCGGUGCAAAAUGUCAAUUUAUUUGGGGGUAGGUUACAAAUUUUCCUAGAGCAGAUAUUCAAUAUAUGAUGUAAAUAUUAGUACGUAUUAAUAAUUUUAGAGAAAAUGUUAUUUUUAAGUUUAAUAAAUAAAAAAACAUGCGCGAUACAUGGUGUUAUUGAUUAAGCAAAUGAUCACUUAGGCUUUAGGAAUAAAAUUUGAUGCUUUGAACUUUCAAAAUCUCAACUUUGUUCAUUACAUAUGACUUUUUAUCAUUCAUGAGCUUGUAGAGGUAUUAUAAACAAUUAUAAUAAGUAAUAAGCUUACAUGGGGGCAAUAUAAAGUUUGCAUUCAAAUUGAUGAUGUGGUAGAUGAUAUGAUUUUAUUUCGUGAGGUCAUUUGAUAAUGGAUUAUUAACUCGGAGUUUGGCAGUUUUCUGCUUAUUUAAAUCAAUAUAUAUAACUUGUUUUCAACUAUAUGUAUAGUAUUCAAAGAUAUGUGAGCACAAACAUUUAAGCGAAAAUAGAUAUAAAUGAGUUAUUUAUUUGAUAUUUUAUCUUAAAAUAUUAAAUAAUGGUUAUUAGAAUUUUUUUUUCAAAAUUAACAAAAAGUAUAAAAAAAUAUCUUAUUAUUAAUUUUUUAUUCAUACUGAAACUUAUAUUUGUUAUUUUUAGUAUUUAAAUCUUUUAUUCUAUUUUCAAUUUAUAUGAUUUAUUCAGUUUAUAGUUAAAUCAAUAAAGUGUACUUGAAAAUAAGGAUUAUAUUGUAAAAUUAUGGUACCAGUGAGUCAUUAGGUAUUAUGAAAAUAAUAGGGAGUAAGUGAUAGAUAUUGAUUUCAGUGUAAGAAAAUUGACAAUUUUCCUUAUUAAUUCUUAUCAAUUAUUAUCUGAAUAGUGAAUUUGUAUUUACUAUCAUAUUAAUUCAAAAUCAAAUUUUAUAUUCUAACUUUAUAAAUAUAUUUAUAUUUUUACCCUUUAAAAUUGUUUUGAACGCUCAUUAAAAAAAAUUAUUGCCUAAUUGGCUUUCAAGGAAAUUACUUAGAUGGCCAUAACAAAUGAAUGAACAAUCUCUUUAUUUUCCGUCAAGUGGUCAGCUCUUGUACAUACUGCAUGGACUUGAGAAGGUGACAAAUUGACCACACACCGACAUUAUUUUAGGCAUUGUUGCAUAGGCCACGUCAAAGCCGUUGAAUUUGAAGCGCACAAAUCCAAAGGCCCAAAAAUAGCCACGUGAUGCUAGUUAAUGGAGAAAGUGACAGAAUCGACCGUAAAUAAAAGAGCAAAUUGGCAAAGGAAACACCGUGAGGUUAAGAGAGACAGCCAGAACAGUUGAGGAAACUACUUCUGCAGUACUGUAAGCGGAAAAAAAAGAAAAAAAAAAAGACGUACGAAUCAAGCAUUUUAUCUAUUGAUAUCGCAGAGCCUUGCAACAAACGUUGCAGAAAUUGGAUUAAUAAAAAUCAAACUUUAAGAUCUAUGAUCCUAUGCUCCAAUAAUAAUAAUAAUAAGGGUUAUUAUUAUUUUAUUACUUUAAAAAUUAUCAAAUAUCAAAUAACUACAACAAAUAUUAUUUCCUAUUAUUUUCUUACUAUAUCUUUAUAAAAAUAGCAUUUUACUACUUUUCUGUUAUAAUCUUGACAAACAAAAUACUAAUUUCACUCUUCAUGAUUAAAAAAAAAAUACUUAAAGCUUAUUUACAAAAUAAAUUUGUAAUAUAUUUAUUAAAAUGGAUAUAAAACACCAACAUAAUUAUUUUAACUGGAAUUAUGAUAUAUGGAUUAAAAAUUUAUCUUAUUAUUUUUUUAAUCAUGAAGGGUAAAAUUGAUAUUUUAUUAGUCAACUAACGGGUCAACUAACGGUUGUAAUGAAAAAGUAGUAAAAUGAUAUUUUUAUAAAAAUAUAAUAGGAAGAUGAUAGAAGACAACACUUGUUGUAGUCAUUUGAUAUUUGGUAAUUUUUGAAACAGUGAAAUGAUAAUAACUCUAAUAAUAAUAAUAAAGAUAUAUGAUUGACCGACUAAGACCGUAACCCCCUUCAAUAAUGUAUUUACUCUUUUCAUCCAUGCUCGUUAAAUUAGAUUGUUUCAAAUCUAACGGCUCAUCCAAAAAUGAAAAAAAAAUACAAGUUAAAUACAAGGUGUUUUUUUUCCCCCAAAUAGAUUCUCAUUAUUGCAAGACAAAAUUUCAAAAUAAACAAGUUAAAUGUUGUAGAAAAUCUUCACCUGUAUAAGAUAAUAAUAAUACCUAAAUGUGAUUUUUAACCAAAGCAUCAACUGCUCUAUUAUAAUUUUUAGAAACAUGGUCAAUCUUGAAAUCUUACUAAAUUAACAGUAGAUACUUCUUAUAAUUAUUCAAAAUAGCUUAAUACAAAUACAAUGAAUACGAGGUUAUUUGUCCUUGUUACUAGAUAGUGAAGCCUUUGAUGCAUAAUAAAAUGUUAAAAAAUAUGAAUUAACAUAAUAAGAUCAAAGACAAGAACUAUAUAUGCAUUUGUACUAUUAAACAAUUUUAUUUGCUAAAGUUUGUGUACUUGUUAAGACCUUGAAGGAUUUUAUAAAAAUAUUUAAUUGGAAAAUGUAUGUUUCCCUUUCACUUUUUGAGGAAAACAAUUUUUUUUUCUUUUUUAAUUGAAGGAAAGAAAAAUCAAGUCUAAACGCAGUAUUACACUCUUUAGAAACAUACAUUUUCCAAUUAGAAACAUACUCUUUAGAAACAUGGCCAAUCUUGAAAUCUUGCUUCAAUAACAGUAGAUGCUUCUCAUAACUAUCCAGAAUAGCUCAGUACAAAUACUAUGAAUAUAAGGUUAUUUGCCCUUUAUAUUAGAUAGUCGGGCCGUUGCUGCAUAAUAAAGUGUUAAAAUAUAAAUUAACAUAAUAAGAUCAAAGACAAGAAGUAUAUUUGCAUUUGUAACAUUAAACAAUUUUAUGUAGUUAUUUAUUUUUUAACUUCGAUCUUAUACGCAAUUAAUUUGCAAAGUUUGUGUAUUUGUUAAGGGAUUUUAUAAAAAAAUGUCUCGUUGAAAGAUGCAUGCACCCCUUUCAAUUUUUGAGGAAAACAAUUUUUUUUUAAUUGAAGGAAAUUUUUUUUAAUACAAUAAAAGUCCAAACAUAUUAUACUCUCACAACUACAUGAGAAUACUCAAACUCUCCACUUUAAUAUUAAGGAGAAGAGUGAUUGACCAAUAUUACCAAGGGAUCAUUACCAAUAAAAUAAAAAAUUACAGACCCUAAAAUGUAACUUUAAAGAAUAAUAAUAGAGUUAUAAAUUCUUAUAUAAGUAAUUUUUAUACAAAUUGAUAUGGUAUAAUAUCAUUGGUUGAGUAAAUAUAUAAUAUAAUAAAGAUAAAUCAUGUGGACAAUGUGUUGGUUUCAUUCAACCAACUAUGUUACAAAAUUAAUAUAAAAAUUUAUAGAUGUAUCAUUACUCUAUUUUAAGCGAACACAUUAAAAAAUCAAAAGCAACUUUGAGAUCAUAUCACUAAAAUGGUCCGAUUAAUAAAAAUGUAUAUACCACCAAAAAUGACCAUUAAAAAUUAAAGCAACUAUAUUACCUAUAAAAAUGACAAAAUUAUUAUAAAUGACCACCGUGAAUAAUGACUGCGUCAUUAAAAAUAAAAUAAGUUAAGAGAACAUUAGAACACGUGCAGGUCAUUUUAUUAUUGUUGUUUAAAUGUUAUUUAUCGCGAUAAAAUACCAAAAUUGCCCUUAUACCUAUCGCUAGAUUCACAGGUCUGGUUAAAAUUAAACCAUGGUUAGUUCACUCACGUGAUUAACUAACCCUACUGUUACUGCGAUGCUCUAAUAAUGAGCGCCCCCACACCGGCUUGAAAAAAAAAAAUUCAACAAUAAACUAAUAAUAAAAACAUAACCGUGGUUUGAUCAGUCACGUGAUUAACUAACCUUAUUGAAUGUAACUCAAUACUCUCUAAUAAUAAGCGCCACCACACCGGCGUUAAAAACAAAAAAAAUUGCAACAAUAAAAUAAUAGAAAACAUAUCAGAAUAAAUAAUGAUAUAAUUCAACAAAAAUUCAACGUCGUUAAAGAUUCCGUUAGAUUGAUGAAGUCCGUGAGGUGAUAAAAAUUUGCCACGGGCGCAUGCUAACUUGAUGAUAGACGGGUGUCGACGGUUCAAAGGAGGAGUAAUCAGGACCGUUUGAUUGAUGAUUGAUGGUCACGAAUGCUCGGUGUGGAACCGAGAGUAUGAAAGAGGGGUAUAAAACUGGUUUUAAAAGGGAGAGAGAAUUUCGUUUAUCAGAAGAAGGAAGGAGAGCACUUUGUGUUGUUUGUUCUCUCUCUGGUUUCUCUGCGAAUUUUCAUUCACUUUCUUUCGUUUUCUCAGAAGCCAAACAGACUACUUUGGCUGAGAAUUGACGAGAAUAUGAUAACGGAAUGUUGAGAAUCUGAAUCCAAUAGAGAGAUAGAGGAGAUUUAGAGGUGUGUAUUACCAACACACUUUUGUUUUUCAUUAUUAAGAAGAUCAAUUUAAAAAAAUUGGCCGGUAUAAUUGUUGUUUGGUUCAUGCUUUAGUUUACAGACAAAUUCAAAAUGACAAAAGACGACAUGGUUCAGUUGGCUUAGUGUUAAUUCCGUAUAAUUCAUCCUCUGAUAUAAUCAUUUUAUUUGUUUUGCAGAUACAUUUCUUAAGAGAAUAGAGAAAUUUCUGUAAGGGGAAGAUCAUAAUCUCUCAUUAGAGCAGGAGAUUUUCAAGUCUUUGAAAUGCCAAUCAUUUCGCUGAGAAGCUGAUAUACAUUCGAUUUGUAUUCUGCCGACUGAAAGAAGCAAAAAAUCGGCGAAUUUGAGAUAUUGGAGGUAUAAAAAACAAGCAUAUCGAUUUUCAUCUCGUCGAUUUAACUCGGGACCGGUUCUCUUUCAUUUCAGUUUUGAAUCGGUUUCCACUUGCUUCUUAUUACGAAGCUUAUACUUAAGUUCGACUCCGAUUCUCGUUUUUUCAGCUGUUUGGCUCUGGCGAGAAUUCAUCAUUAGCGUCUACAAGAAAUUUCAGUUCCAUGAAAAUCUUGACUUGUUAUUGAUGAAAUAUUUUUUUCGUUUUGAUUUUUGUUCUUUUGACCAUCUCUCAGUCUCGUCUUAUUCGAGCUUUAAAAUUUUUGUCAGUCUCGUCUUAUUUUGAGUUUUAGCUGUGGUUGCUUCUCAGAUUUUUCUCAAAUUACCUACGUUUGGUUACUGAGAAAGAAAGCAGAGAGAAAAAUAACAUCUCAGAACUUCUUUCCAUUCUCGAAUUGAUCUCUAGAACCAACGAAUUGGUUCUGAUUGUUGCAAUUCACGAUCCUUCUUUAUUUUCUUUUUCGAACAUUUUCUCGGCAGCCGAGCAAAAGCAUGGAGCUUGAGAAAUUUUUUCUCCGCUUUCUAUGCGUAUUCUUCGUCAGAUCCUCUGGAGUGAGUACGUCUGUGAUCUAUUUUUGAAUUAAAAUUCUCAUUUUCACUGCUGAUGACUAUUACAGCAUCACUCGGUAGAGAAUUCUGCAUUUUUUCAUUUUGAAAAAUCCUUGGCUGUCGGAUCUUCCUCUUCCAGUCUUCGGUCUUCCUCAGUAUUCAAUAUUUUUGUUGCAUUUUAAUAUAUGUGAUUCUUAUGGUAAGCCUACUUUUCUUCUCAAAAUUUGGGAAAAUUCUUAGCCGUUACUCUAAAAUUUUAAUUUUAAUCAUUCGUUUUAAAUGGCGUGGAAGUUGCCGGAAAGCCGAAGCCGUAUCCAAAUUGUUCAUUUUGUUUUUCUUUUUUAGUAUAAUUCUGCAAGUUAACCGUAAUUUAGGAUGAGUAAUUGUAAUUAACUUAUCUGAAUGGGACAGGUUUGCGAAAGGAGAUGGAUAAGGACUUGUUGAGAAGCGGUAAUAAUGGGAGCACUUGCAAAGAUGGGGGAUUAUUAAGAGCUAGCUCAGAGAUCAACACUAGGCAAACGGCGUCGUCUGAUUUCGUCUUACAGUGGGGGAACAGGAAGCGACUCCGGUGCAUGAAAGUUCAAGUCAAAGACGAUUCGUCCGCUUCGGCCCAUCGGACGACGGUUCGAGUCGUAAGAACCGACAAAGACACGUCCAAUCAGCCGAGUACUGCCACCGCUAACCAUAAUAUUGGUAACGGUUAUUUUAAUCUCCGUCGACGGCCAUCUUCGCCUCCGCCACCGCCACCGCCACCUCAGCGUGUGCUCAGGUAAUAACUCGGUAUCAUCGUUUGUUUGAUUUUAUGUUUGAAUAAAAACAGAGAUUUGUAUGCUUAUUCUUACGGCGCGUAUUAAACACUGUCGGCUGAGAUGGUGGAUCUUGUUUUUAGCUGUGGGGUUGUUCGCACUGAGGGCCUGAGCCUGAACCUUCGCUGGUGUUUGCGAGGCAACUGUAGUGUUGUGUGUAUGACGUUUAGAUAAUUGAAUGGGUUGCGCGUGGGCCCGUGACGCGCUUUGUGUCCGUGUUCGCAGUUUAGUGUUAGCUCCUUUAUUGUUCGAUUUCUAUAAUCCACAUUGGCGCGGAAAAAGAUUUCGAUCUGCUCUCUUUGAUGGGUCCCUUUUUACCCUUUAUCUUUAAUUAAUGGUUUUCUGCCGCAAGAAAUAUGUUUUACCGUGGUGAAUUAUAUUUUCUUCUUCAAUUGAAUUGGUGUUUAUGUUAAAUUAAUGUUGAAGAAAGAUAGUUGCCCUUUUCAGUAAUAGCAUGAAUUUGGAUCACCUUUAGUCAUUAGUCGCUGUUGGUACACGGUCACUGUCGACAUAAUUAGUUUGUGUAAUAUCAGUAAGCCCGGAGUCAUUCUGCAUUUCUGCUGAUAUUAUUAUUAUAUUUUAAAUUCCAAUUGCAGCCUUUAUGCUUGUUUUAUAAAAUUGGAAAUAAUUAGUUCAUAGUCUGGGAUAGUAUGUCCCUUGGUAUUGUACUAUGGUUUGAUACAUUUGUCUAUUUCUGGUAGUGGAGUGGACUGUUCCAGGAAUAGAUAAUAUCAUAUGAAUACUAAGCUGGCGUCUGAAUCUUGAUGCCUAAUAACAUUUCAGCAUCAAAUUAUUUUGCUUUUGCUGAAGUGGAGGUUAGUUGGAUCUACUUGUUCAUUACAAGAUGAACUUUUAAACUUCCAAAAUUGGGGCUGAGUACUUACUUAUGAGGCUUAUACUUGUCCAUUCACUAAUUGGUCAGGUUGGUGCAAAUCAGAACUCAGGAGAGCUGAUGCCUGAUGGUGAGUUCAUAAGGUCAGGGUGUCCUUAUAUUUACUAUUGCUUUAGUUUCUAGGAUUUGAGUCUUGCUAAAGUGGGUUGCCCAUGUCAUUUCACGAUCCUUAGAAUCUAAUAGUCGCGUUUGAAGUGUGUGAUCUAUAGAUAAUGCACUUGAGAUUUGGGGAUAGUUUCACUUAUUUAUAAAUUUGAUUAGUUUCUAGACUUUAGCAUAUAAUUGGUGAAGUUUUAGAUGGUGCAUUCUCCCAAUAUUACAUUUACUGAUUUACAUUCUUAAUUGGGAAAUUGGCUGUAAUCUUUGCUUUGUUAUUUGACUGAUCUGCGGCUGCUAAUUGUAGUUUUAUAUGGGGUUAUAUUUUUAUUGUUCUCGUUAUAAAUUGACAUUCUUUAGAACGUUUUUUUAUUUUUUAAAAUCUCAAAUUGCUUCUUUUGCAGAAGAUAAAAAUAAACUGAUCAACUCACAUUUUUCCUUUAUUUUUUGAAUAAAAAUGAGGGUAAUUUGAGAUUUUGAAAAGUGAUGAUUUGAAGAUAGUUAAGUCUCACAAUUUAUGUUUUAUUCUUUUCUUUUUCUAUAUUGCAAUCUUAUUGGACUGAUUUUGUUCAAAGUUGUGCAAAAGAAGAUUAGGUUGAUUAGCAUUCCUAAUCAAACUACUCUUCUUACUCAAUUGUGCUACUCUUGACCUUUUGCAUUUGCCUAGAGGGUAGCCAACUUGUCUUGAGUUCAUCACGCCUGAUUUUAGCCCAUAACGCUGCCAAAGCGUCCUCACAUGGUGGACUCGUUGGAACUUGGAACUAGGAAACAUGGAAUUAGUAAGUUCCUGCCACGCGUCCAAUGAUGCCCAAGUCUAAUCUCAACAAAAUUUCCGCCGUCGAUUGUAAUUGUAUUAGGAAUCUGGUCCACUCUAUCCUACAUGCCAACCCAUCCAUCAACACGUAGCCCAUACCUUAGAAAAGGAAAAUGAAUCCAACGGCCUACAAACCGCCCAUAGGACCAGCUGUGCUCGUUAGAUCGAGAUUAGAAUCAAAACUAUUUUUCUCAUGGCAGCCAAGUUAGCAAAUAUCAACACUUCCUAUUUGUUUAAAAAGCGCAAUCCAAAGUCUCUCCAAAGAAGCCAAAAGAAAAAAAGAACUCACCGUAUAUGACUUUCUUCUCAAAUUUAGCCCGACUUUACUUGAUCACUCCCAAGGUUAUUUUCGUACUUGCAUAAAAAUUCACUUCAGCACAUCACUUUUUUCACUUUUUCCUUAACACUCUACUUGACUGUAUUAAAUUUCAUUUUUAUUUCACAUGUUAUGUCCAGUUAAUUGAUGUGUUGUUAUGUGUGUAUUGUUUGUUAGGAAUUCUGAGAAUUCAAGUGCCAUGAGAGGCCAAAGCAACGGUGGUGUGAGAGGUUUUGCUUCACCAGAUAGGGGUGCGCACGAUAAGAGAGGUACCCGUCACAACAAUCACAACCACCACAACAAUGAUUAUAACAAAUCAGGGGCAUCAUCGGAAACAGCUCAUGAUAGCAAGAAAGGUGGAUCCUCUUCCGCUAGUGGCGAGGCGGCGCCACCCGUGUGGCCCCCGAAAUUUGUGAUUGCUUUAACCAACAAAGAGAAAGAGGAAGAUUUCAUGGCCAUUAAAGGGUCUAAGCUGCCACAGAGACCCAAAAAGAGAGCAAAGUUUAUUCAACGCACAGUCAAUGUAAGCUUUUCUUAUUCUUUCCUUGUUUAAUCCUUCAUGAUAUCUAGACUUAUCUACGAUGUUGUUUUAGUUAUUUUAGAAUUUAGAUUUAACGAAUUUGAUUCUAGUUGCAAUUUAAUUAUCGUGAAUAAUCAUCUGUAGGAAUAUUUUAUUGGGGUACAACAUUUAGGAGCACAAGGUACAAUAGAUCUCUUGCGGCCUUUUGAUGAUAUUUUGGGAUGGGACACGGUUUUUAAGAAUGUAGCUGUUACUACAAAUAUGGUUGCUGGGUCGGACCCUGAUUUAUGUGAAACUAUGAUCUACUUUAUUAUUAUUUUUUUAUUAGUCUUCAAUUUUUGUUUUCGCUUAAAAAUAGGGCUGUGUGUAAAGUGACCAGUGAGAUAUACAUGUCCACGUGUCGGUAAAGGCGUGGACGUGUACCUAAAAAUGACCUGUAGUAACGUUAGCCUCCCAGUGACCGAGUCCUGGUUUGGGUGCGGGAUGUAGAAUAAAUUAACAAAAAUCUGGGGUGGGAAUAUUACCCUUGCCCGAGUUUUGUGCUUUGAUAAUCAAAUUUCUCUUGAUUUAGUCGGAAAAUUCCAUUAAAGUAAUGGUACAUAUUUUAAAUCUUUUGUUUUUAAAAAUUAUUCUAAAUAAUGUGGCAUUCCGUAAUGCAGUAAUUCAUACUUUACUUCGUGGGGGAGAUAAUUGAAUAACAAGAGACAAUUGAGUUGUCAUUAAGUUUUUUCUGUUUUUGAUUUUUUUUAUGUUUAUGUUCCAAUUUAUCAAAAUCAAAUAUUCUUACGACCAAUAAGAGUUACUUAAGUCAAGAUUUUACCGUAAGAGAUUAUCACGGUAAUACCGCAAUUUUGAAUUUAUUUUACUUUUCUUGGCUACGGGGAGUUCUUUUUUUUUUUUUUUAAAGAAAGCGUUGAAAAUGUUGGAUAUGUGGAAAUGAGUAAUAAUAGAGUUAUAAUUACCUUCUAUAAGUAAGUGUAUAUAAAUCGAAGUGACGUGACGGAAUUAGUUAUAUAAAAUUAUUAUGGGUUUAUAUAAUUAAAAAUUAAUUAUUAUUAUUAUUAUUUUUAGCUAAUUUUUAUCCGUCAUUAAUUUGUAUAAAUUAUAAAAUCAUUCGUGGGUUUAUCAUUUUACAAGAAUAUGAGGGGGUAACAGAAGGAUAAUUUUUAAAAACGUUUGAGCUUGUUGCAAGUAGAUGGCGAGAAUUAGUUUAUUUGUAAAAAAUCUCCUACCGUCAAUUAAUUUUAAUAUUGACCGUUAGUUGACUGUGCAAAGACAAUAUUAUCCUUAACAAUAGUUUGUAGACGGAAAUAACUAAAAAAAAAUUAAAAUUAUUGGUUAUUUUACACUCUUUAAAUUAUUGAUAUUUUUUUAAAGUUUCUACAAAAAAGAUAAAAUUAAAAACUUGAAAAAUUUUCUUUAAAUUAUUGAUAUUUUCUUAAAGUUCCUACAAGAAAGAUAAAAUUAAAAACUUGAAAAUGAAAUAGUCAUAAUCUUUACUUAUGAUAUUAUAAAUCUUUGGAAUUGACAAGGAUAAUAUUGUUAAAAAUAGGGUUUGUGCUUUUCGCGCCAAUAAUUUUAAUUUUUUUUUUAGUUAUGUCAGUCUAAAAACUAUUGUUAAGGGUAAUAUUAUCUUUGUACAGUCAACUAACGGUCAAUGUUAAAAUUAACUGACAGUAGGAGAUUUUUUACAAAUAAAUGAAUUUUUGUCAUCUACUUACAACAAAUUUAAACCUCAAGGAAAGUUUUUAAAAAUUAUCCGGUAACAGAAUGCCUUAAACGUGGUACGUGGGGUCAACAAGGACGUGGUAGUACAGAGCUGGAAACUGUAUUUUUCUCUUGGUUUUAACUUUUAAACAUUAUGAGUGUCUCAGAUUGAGAUGGAGGGAUCAAUCUGCAACACGUGUACGAUGGCGAUUCAAUAGACAACACAAACUUAUCAACGAAGUAAGGUCCAAAUACUCACCAAAGGUAAUAAUAUUCUUCGUAAAAGUUUAACCGACGGAAGCGGAUGGGCCCUUUGCCCAUUAUUGUGGGGCAUUUCCGUAAUAUGGACAUUGCUUUUUGGUGAAUUAACUUUUCUUGUCUCUAAUAGUUUUUAAUGAUUAAUUUUCUCUUUAUUGAAAUAAUAUUUAAGAAUAAUUUAUAAUAAACAAUGGAGGUGGUUUCGUGACUCUUGUAGUGGUCCUCCAGGCUGGACCACACUGACAGUGCGUGGAGAGCAAAGAUUGCACGUAGUUUUUCGUCCAUAACUUUCUUAAACGCACGACUUGUAGACGAUUCUUUUUGCAAGUAGUUUUUUUCUUUUUGAGGUUGCAAGUAUCUUCUUGCUUAUGGUGGAAUUAUUUUUUUUUACAAAUUAAUUGAAAUCAUAACUGUUUUAAAAAAGCACAGGAAUCUCUCUUUAUUGCAUCCCAAUCAAAAUCAAAAUCUGAAAUUAAAGGCCAAAGUUGCAUUGAGUUUAUGUUUUUCUUUGCAGCUGGUAAGUCCCGGUGCAUGGCUAUGUGACCUGACCCUUGAACGUUAUGAAGUUAGAGAGAAGAAAAUCUCCAAGAAGGUACUUUUUGUAUUACAACUCCCCAAUUGGAGAAGCAUUUACAUUAAAAAUUAAUGGAGCAUAAUGUUUGUAUCGGGGAUCUAAUCUGAUGCAGAGACCGAGAGGAUUGAAGGCUAUGGGUAACAUGGACUCAGACUCAGAGUAGAGGAAGAGGAAGAUGAAUAGCUGUUGAUAGCUGUUGUUUUUUGUUUGUUGAGAAUAUGACAAAAUGUUGCUACCCUGUAAAUCGUUACCUUUCGUCCCUCCCUCUGAGAUGAAUGAAAGGAUAAAAUUUUAGCCAUAUCUUCUCUCUUCUCUCUUCUCUCUUUCUCUCUUCUCUCUUCUCUCUCUCGGUUAUUUUAUUAUUAUUAUUAUUAUAGAGGCAUCAGGCAUCAACACCUGUUUUUGUUUUGCUUAUAUUUUUCUUUUGUUUCAGCUUUAUUUAGGUGCUGGUUGACUGAGCUGGUCACGCUUUAGGCCCAGUAGUGGGCUACGUCCAUUUUGCUGGUUAACAAGUUAAAAGCUACUUUACCAACUUGGUAUAACCUGUCUAAAGUGGGAGUGACGAAUGUGCCACUAGCUUUGCUUAUAGACAAAGCAAGGCUAUUUUCGCACAUUACAAGAUGGUUGAGCUGAAGUUCAUGAAUAAGCUCAUUGGCUACUGGACAAAUAUGGAGUACUAAUAUAAAUUAUUUCUGCACAUUUUAUUGUGCAAAUUAAUACGAAGAGACCUACAUCAAUUAUUUUUUAAGUUAAAAAAUAAUCAAUUGCACAAAGCGUGCAACAAUAAUAUAAAGGGUUUCGAUUAUGUUGGAGUUUACUUACAGUGGUGUGUGAACUUCAGUCAUACAAUAAUAUAUAAGAGUUUGAUUAUGUUGGAGUUCACUUACGGUAGAGCGCGAAUCUCAAUCAUACAAGGAAAGUGAUGAAUAAUAAAAAAUGAGUUAUUUUUUUAUUAUUUAUUAUUUUACGUGUAAUUAAAAUUCGUAUUUUACCGUAGGUGAAUUCCAACAUAUCAAUAACCUAAUAUAAAAUGUCAUCUCAAACUGUAUUAAUGGAAUAAUUAGUGCUUGUUAAAGAGUUUAUAUUUCUAGAAUUUUUGAUUUAGUAUAUAAUUAUGUAGGGCAAAGCAAACGGGAAUCAACAAUUACGUGGUAGGGUCCACAAACCAACUAUAAUAUUCGUACAAGCUAAGCAAAUGUUGGGGAACUCCAGGUGGGGGGUUGGGUGGGGGCGAAUGAAAAGGGAGAACAACCUCAGCUCACCGGUCAAAUAAUACGUUGCAAAUCACGCUUAGCCAUUGAUUACAAAAGGAUGGUUGGGCCGAAUGAGUCAAUUUCGCAAAGACUGCCUUGUCCAACAUAAACUUUUCGAAAAUCAUCAUUCUGGCGACUUCUUCCAAGGCAUCGCCAAGUGUAAUGAUAUACCCCUAUAAACCAACAAAUUGAAUCAUUGCACAUUUGAUCCCCCUGUUGUUUUCUGUUUCACGAAGGUGCCACAGACCCGAUGACUUGGACUUGGAAUAAUUAAAAAAAGGCCAAAAAAAAAAAAAAUGUUCCUGUUGGUCAUGUUAAAGGCACAGAUUCCCCUUCUCCUCCAAUUCUCUCAUUCAUUGUCCUUUCGCACAAUUGCACAUGGGAAUGGGAGUGCAGAAGCCAAGGAGUAAGCGUGUCAGCUGUGCCUUGCCACUUGGGACUUUUUUGUUUAGGGAAGAUACGAAUUACUGUUUACAAGUGCAUUACUUUUACUUAUCAUCGAUUCUUGUGGGAAAUGUAUUUCCUCUUCUGUCGUCCGGCGAACGCGAUUCGAGUGAAAUAAAAUUAAAUUGAUUUACAUAAAAAAAUUAAAAGAAAAGCGGAUAGUGAAUGAUAUAUAACAUAACAACAAAAGGAAUAGCUUAAUAUAUACUGAUAAUAAUCAUAAGUCUCCAAAAUAACAAACAUAAAUCAAAUCAUAUCAUCACAUCUCCGUGAGCUACAAAGCAUAACUGAUAACUCUCUCUCAUUAUAAAAUUUAUAUGUAAUAAGACUCACUCCCUAAAAGACUAAAAACCCAGUGGAUCCGCCGCUACUAAGCCCACAUAACGUCUAAACAACGCAAAAAAAGAAAAAAAAAUGAAGAAACCACUCUACACACCCAAUAAGCUAGUGACACGUAAUCAGAUAGAGAACCGGCCUCUUAAACCCUGAGAACUGAGCCGAACACCAGAGCGGAAAGGAGAGCGACACCAGCGGCGGCUAAGGAAGGCGAGAUCGAGCCGGCUCCGGAAGCGGGAGCUGGAGCGGGAGAGAGAUCUUGAGCCGACCCUGCGAGAACCAAGGCGGCCAGGACAACGGCCAUCAUCAGCGUAGCCAUUGAAGCCUUUGAGAAUGCCAUUAUUGAAGCCUUUUUUUCUCAGGGUUUUUGAGAGCGUAACCGAAGGAAGCUGAGAGAGAUUCUUUUUCCUGUGUCUGUAUGUGGGAAGUGUUAGUAUUUAAGACAUGAGAAGAAAAUAGUGAGGUUUAUUUAUAGACUGAAAAGUGUGGACGGGAAGAGAGAAUUUCGGGCAGCGGCCCGGAUUUUUCCAGUCUGUCUAUUGGUUUCUUGACAGCUAUGUUUAUUUGUGGGGCCCAGUUAAUUAUAAUUUCACGCGACCGUUUAGGGUAUCGAACGGCGAAGCGACGUCGUGUCGGUUCACGAGUGUGACUUACGCCGAGGAAAUAAUUGAUUCUUUGGGAUUGGGAAAAAUUUGAGCAAAGUAAAAUUACGGAAACAGCAGCGAAUUAUAAUAUCGCAGUCUGUGAUAAACUUGAUAACUAUCUACUUGAAUUGAUAGGACAUAUAAAAAGAACAUUGUAUUAUUUAAAGGAUUGAAUAAUUUAAUUGAUAAAAAUCUCUUACCGCUAAGUUUGGAGAUCCAUUUGCACUCAAAUUUGGUGGAGGAAAAUUUUGAUUUCAGUUGUGUUAUGUUAUUAACAAAAAUUAUUGUUCAAAAAAUGCCUUUUUGUAGCUGCAAUAAAUGAGAAAAUUUUAAAGUACUUUUUUUUUAUUAUUUAUAUAAAUUGAACGAAAUCUUGGUGUGAUUAUUUUGUAAAUUCUCGAGAACUUUUGGGGUGGGGUGGGGGAUUUUGUGUAUGAAUGUAUGAUGAGUUCAUUGAAGAGGCGAAUGUUUAAUGGUGGGAUUGAUGAUUAGGGAUCAGUGAUGGUGCAGUUGAUUCCGCUACAAAGAUUUUUGUAAGCGCCCACAGACAGCCCACGUGGGAUGCGGUGGCUCGACCAUUAGGAGGAGGACGCGUGGAGACGUGGAAGGGCACGGGCUUUUUUAAUAUUCGAAUUUUGAAUUUGAAUAAUCGGAUGUGGACCUGUGGACAGUAUGAAAUGAUCGUGAAUUUUGUGGGUUUCCAGAACUUUCCGUUUGGCGUGUGCGACUGUGUGUUCAUUGGCAGGCACAUGUAGGAGUGUUACGAAGUUUACGCGUUAAACGUAUGCGGAAAGAAAAUGGUUUAACUUUGGGUAAAUGUUUAAAAAAGGAAAUUUCAAUCAACGCUUCUUCUUCUUCUUCUUUUUUUUUUUUUUAUUCCAUAAAAGAAGAUCUUUAAUUUCUGUAAUUAUAUCAUAAUUGAGUCCAAGAAGAUCUGGCUGCAUUGUUGUAAUUUUAUUUAGUUAACCAUAUAAAUUUGAGUCCCGAAGUUAAAAACUUAAUUUUAAUUUUAACUGCUCUUCCAUCUUCUUUUUGUUUUUGUUUUUGUUUUUAAAUGAUCAUGAAACACCUCUUCUCAUUAAUUAAUGUAGAAAAAAAAAGGUUUCAACCACUCCUACGUAUAUUAGCAUGAUUUCUUUUUUAAAUAUUAUUUGAUUGGUAUCAUUGCAAAGUUAAUUUAGAUUCAGUAGUUUAUUUUGGCUAAAACAUCAUAUAUUUAAGAUGCAUCAUCAGAAAAUUGAUUUAGAGUCACCUAAUUUUGAGCUCAAAUAUUAUAUAUUUGCACUCACAAUCAUAUAAUUGGUUUAGAUUUAAUCUGUUUUAAGCUCAAAUAUGUAGCUAUCACAUAAAUAAUUUAGAAUGUUACAAUAUUCUAAGGGCGUGGUCGGGUUAAUUAUAGUGCAGUUGUAGCCUCUACCAAAAUCCGGGUUCGAUUCUUAGAGAUCAAGAUUAUGUUUAGGCUCGCCCACCUCCUCUUACUUUAAAAAAAAAAAAUUUAGAAGGUUACUAAUAUUUUUUUAAUUAUAAAUAUCAAUAUAUAUUGUAAUGUAAUAUUCUUUUUUUUUUUAAAAAAAAAAGGUCAGGUAGAAUUGAUCUCCCUCAUACCAAAUUUUGUAAAAAAUAAUUUAGGUUAUGCCGAUUCAUAAGAUGAGGGGUUCAUAUAGUUUAGUUCAGUUGAUAAUUUUUUUUUUUUGGUUGAAAAAAGAGAUAUGAGAUUUAAAAUCAGUUUAGGUGAGCAAGGACGGUUUUGGGUUGUCACCGAGCUAAAUUAAAAAGGAUUAAUGAGAUGAGACGAGUGGUUUGUUAAAAAGAAUAGUGCCACAUAUUAUAAAGUUUGUGUCAAAAAAAUUCAUCCUAUAAAAGAAGAGACACUCCUAAUAGGCAUGAAAAAAAAUACAAUAAAUCGUUUUAAAACAUAACUGUGACUAGAACAUCCCCUUGUGAAGAUAUAUUUUUUAUUUUUUUAAAAAAAAUUAUUUAAAUAUCUCUAAUGUUCAUGCAACAAAUACGAUGAAUAGUCACAAGGGCAGUCUAGAAAAAGGCAUUUACAAAUACACGGCGGGCCAACAAAGAAUCAUUCACCUUCUAAUCCUUCGAUGUCUGCUUGCAACUCAACUAAACUAACAGCAUUCCAAAAUCAGCAAGAAAACGAUUUAAGAACUUAUUUUGGAAUGCUAUUAGUUUUUAAGGAUUAAUGAGAUGAGAUGAGUGGUUUAUUAAAAAGAGUAGUACCACCUACUGUAAAGUUUAUGUCAAAAAAAUCCAUCCAAUAAAAGAAGAGACACUCGUAAUAUGCAUUAAAAAAAAACACACAAUAAAUCAUUUUAAAACAUAACGUGAAUCAAACAUCACCUUAUGAAGAUAUAUAUAUUUAAAUAUCUCAAAUGUUCAUGCAACAAAUGCGAUGAAUAGUCACGAGGGCGGUCGAGAAAAUGCGUUGACAAUUACACGACCGGCCAACAAAAAAAUCAUUCACCUUCUAAUCCUUCAGUGUCUGCUUGCAACUCAACUAAACUGAUAGCAAUUAGCAUACCAAAAUAAGCCAAAAAAAAAAAAAAAAAAGAUUUAAGAAUCUUAUUAUUUUACUCGUUAAUAUUGCUAAGCAUAUGGCAGCCCUGGGCGGCUGUGGAGUGCAGCCUGGCGUUGGAUUUGCUCACAGACAGGACCUGUAAGGCUGAAACAACACGGCAGCAACAAAGAAAGUAGUUUUAUUUACGUAAUACAAUUUUUUAUACCUUUAUUUUUUAUCUGCAUGAUUUAGUUCUUACACAGACGUGCUAACGAGAAUCAUCCAGUAGCUGGUGUCACUUGUCAACUACUCCUUAACUUAAAGAGCAUAUUUGGGAUUGUCAAGUAUUCCCAAAUUAGUGAUUAUUUGAGAAUUUGUUAUCACAUAUGGUUGGUUCGAGUUAUUCUCUCAGACAUAUCACACCAAUAAUCAUCAAAUAAGUGAGAAUCAAACAAAAUUUGAAAGCAAAUUCUCAAGUAAUUGGUUAGAUUGUAUGAAAAUUUGACUUGUGAAUAUCAAGUAACCUCAGAAUUAGAAUGACUGUAAUGUAUACAUUGGCAUUUACUAUUUACUAAUCACCAAUCAUAGCUUUCUAUUUGGCUCAAUGGCUGAGUGCAAAUCCAGAUGAGCAUGAAAUUCAAAUCAACUCAAAAACCGUUAGAGAAAACAAAAUAUCUUUGAAGUAGUUAUCACUUCAUUAUUAUCAGUAGGAUGAAAAUGAUCGAAGUUAAAAACGUCCAAAAUUAUUAAAUUCAUUUAUCUAACCUGAAUAAUGGACACAUAUACCACGUUGGCUGUCAUUCCUCUGUACAUACAAGAAUCUCACUGUAUCAUCAAAGAGGCUAAUCCUAUGUAACAGUCCUCUCAAUUCGUAUUAUGCAACACGUCUAUCCGAAAAGCUCCUAAUCAUCUUUCUUCCUCGGCUAUUACCAUUCAUUCAAAAGUCAACUCAAAAGGUAGACAAAUUUAUUUGUUAAAAGCCCAAAACUUUAGAUGAUAUAUUCAUCAGAGGUUGUAAAGCACUCGGUGCAAAUUUUCUUCCAAAGAGAAAGCAAACUGUAGAGGGCUGGUUAUUGUAUUUGCAAUGCUGACCUCCAUAAACUUUCUUGAAAAACUCCUCUGUUAUGUCGGCUCUUCCGAAUGUGGCUGGAUGAGCACCACCUCUCGACCAAUCAACCCAAGUGCUGCUUCUAUUUGCCAAGAGAUUUGGCAUUUGAAUAGAUAGCAUGGUGGGAAAAUAGUGUUCGUCCACAUAACAAGGUGGUCUACAGAAUUCCGCGAAUUUUGGAUAAUAUGUAGUAUCUUCCACAAUGUUGACUGCAAGCCUUCGGUUGAUUUCAAACCAUUGGGAUCCUUUGCGCCACUGGGUAAUGUUCACCACAGGUGCCAUGUUCGCAUUGUAGCGUCCUCUCCCAUAUGGUCCAGGGUCAUCAAAUGAACCCAUGAAACUAUGUUUGGAUUUCUUUAUGUAAUGGUAGAUGAGGGAGAAAUUAUAAAGAGGAAUGCAAGACUCAGAGACAAGAAUGAACCAUUCAUUGGAGAUAUCAAGCAAUGCAUUAGCAAGGAGUCUUCUCUCAGCAUCGCACAUGCUCAUUUUUCCCCAUUCAGAGAUCUGCAAAGGGAAGAUACAGAAGACAUUACAAUCUCCUCUAAAUUUUGGGAAAUAUUGUAUUCAAAGCUAUGUGCUAAAGUAAAUAGAAUAAGCAGAUAAAGCAUAACCAUCAAAGGCUUUCAGAAGAAUGCAAGACAGUUCCACUACCAAACACUUCACCUAGAACAUGUAAUGAUAACAUUUGGUAAAGGUAAUCAUAAAACCUGUUAUUUUCCAGGAUCAAAGGGUAUCAAGUAUCAAUUUUACAUUUGGGACAGGAUUAUGGUAGCUGCUUGUUGUUGAAAUGGCACUGUAGCAGAGCUAACCAAAUCAGAUCUCCAUUUCUUGGAGGAUUUGUAUCCUGUUCCAGUUACUACAAGGGGGCAACUCAAGAACAUACAUGUCUUCCUACUUGUCCAAUACAAAAACGUAGGGAGAAAAAAAAAAUCAAAUAAAACGCACUUCGUCGAGCCAAUAUACAUACAGACAGCUCAACCCUCCCCCUUGGUGUUUUGGGAUCCAAAAUUUUUCACCUCCACACGAUAUAUGGCAGUGGUUACCAGCCUUAGAUAAACUUACACUGUUGCAGUUCCCAACUUUCAAAAUUCAACCCAAAAAAUGACCGACUCUUAUUGUUGAUCAUUCACUCAAACCCAGUUUUGCUGGUGAAAGUUAUAAUGUAUGCCAUCAAAUUAAUUAGAAAAUGUUUGCCAAGUAACAUUCAAGAAUGCCACCAUGUCAUCUAUGGAUUGUCCGCUCCUGCUAGAUUCCUCGCAAUUUCUCAUGGACUCCAAUAAUCCGUAAGGCAAUCAGGGGAAAAAAAAAGGAGCAAAAUUUUAACUUGGCUAAGCAAAAACAGAAUAUAUUUAGUUUAUAAACAGAAUCUGUUAAUCAGCAUAUUCCUAUUCAACAGAGUAUUUCUAGACUUUGAUCGUGAAUCACCAUGCAUAUAAAAGUGAUGAUGCUAAAUGGGAACACUACUUUCUACUUUCAAACACCAAGAGCCUACAGAUGACUGAGAGGUCCUAAGAACUGAAGAUUGUUAAACAAAAUUCGGAAAGCUAUGCAAGCAUGCUAACACUAUAUAGAUCCUCAAAAGAAUAAUUCACAUUAUAGGUAAAAAAUAAAGUACUGCUCAUCAUCACUCAAGAGAAGAAGAUCAUAACUUACAUCGUCAUAUAAUCAAUAGUACAACAAAGAUGAUCAGAUGAAGUUUCCACCAGAAUUUUAAAUGAAUAAAUAAAACCUGCAAUAGAUAGAUAUAAUGUCAGGCAUACCUGACUUGGGAUUUGUCUGUUGUAAAAAACUGAUGAAGAUGGAAACUUGUUCUCGAAUGUUGGCAGAGAAUGAACAUAGAUAGAAUAUAGCCCUUCAUGCCCCUUGAAAAACUUCUCCCAAAGAGGUCCAAGAGGUAAUGGCCCCUUCGUCAAGAACAUAAAUGCAAUCUUUGGAACUCUCUUAAAGGGAUACUCCUUCACUCGAGGCACAAAUGAGGCCCUCCAAAAAAGCUCCUUAUCACUCAUUGUGUGCAUUAAAUUUGAUGGAGGAUUUAUCCAAUAAUCCAAACCAUUCGGUAGUUCAGGGCAUGCCACAAAACUGGACUUAACCGUUGUCACAACACUCUGGACUCCAAACCGACGAACUGAGUAUAUACUAAUCAACGAAAAGGCUAUACACAGAGCCAGAAACAAACCAAAUAACUGAAAUAAUCUCAGUGGCAAGGCCCUAAAUUGAUUUGUCUUGUUAACAACUGCAGGGUCUUUGCCUUCCUCUAGCGGAACAACCCUUGCUUGCAUCUUUAUAACUCUAAAUCAAAUCAAAAUUUCACCUUCUGCGUCAGAUCCAAAUCAACAUCCUAGCAUCAAAAGCACUACUAAGCCUCAAAAUACCAGCUAAUUUAUUCACCAGAGCUAGCAAAAAAAACAGCUUUUUUUAAAUAUUUGAAAUUUGUGGAAUUCAAUAUGUUUCAGCAAAACAACCCCACUUAGCAACAGUAACGAAAUUAGAUCUAGAGCUGACACUACAGUACUCAAAAAGCAAGUAUUAACAGAUAUAGCACAAUCAUCAGCUUUCACAGCACAUGGGUUUCUUGAAUAAGAAGCUCUUAGCAAAAAUCAAAAGUCCAGAUCGGACUACUUGAUAGUCUAUAGAUCAAACGAAACCAUUAACGUGAUUGGUGGGGUGAUGAAAAACAGUACACGAUGGUGAACGUUCAACAUACCAUGUAAAUUUGUUGGGGCUAUAUGAGGAAACAAAGUUUGAAGCUUUAGCUCGAAUUGCGCCACCAAAGAAGAGAAACAGAACGGUCAAAUAAAUGAACAAAGUUAGGCAAAGAAAAUAAGAGGAGAAAAAGAGAAAAGUCCUUGGGACGCCCAAAGAGAGAGAGAAAAGGAGGUCCAAGAAAGUGGGGAAUCAAGGAAAUUUUGAGUGUGUGUGUAUGUAUGUAUAUAUAUAUAUAUAUAUAUAUAUAUAUAUAUAUAUAUAUAUAUAUAUAUAUAUAUAUAUGGGACUUUGAAUUUGAGGAAAUCACAGAAUUGUAAUUAGGUGAAUUGUGAAAUGUGGAGAAUUCAAAGAAUGUUUUUUGAUUUAACACGUACAGUGGAAGUGUCUGCUUCGUCUUUUGUGGGUUAGCCGUCACCAUGUGAGAGGCGGUUUUUGCAAGGUAAUAAUACGGCAAUGUCUUGCUGUCAUUUUGUAACGUUUUGGAAAACAAAUUUACCCUGAUUCAUUUGCCUUGAUAGAUCCUUUUUUUUUUUUAACCUUUUUUUUUAUAACUUGAAAUAGAAUGAAAUUAGUCAAAAUUUAAAUUUGAAUGAUAUGUAAAUUUUUUUAAAAUUUUUAAAAAUAAAUAUUAAAUUAUUUGUUUUUUAAUUUUAAAAAACUGACAGCCUAUACUUUUACAUUUUUACCCUUACUAAAUUUAAAUGUUGAAUAAAUAAUAUAUUUUUAAAAGAACUUAAAUAUGAUAAUAACAUUAUCUUUUUUUUUAAAAAAGGAUAAUAACAUUAUCUAAAUCAUCUUCAAGUAAAUGAUUUAUGAAAUCAUUCACUUGGCAUAGGGUUGUUCUAACUUAACCAAUGUUUUUUAUUCGAAUCUUGAAAAUGCAGUUGCGUUAAAUACUUAUUGGAAGAGCUUUGACGCCCUAGUGGUCUUACCCAGCUCGAAUUUGAAUUAGUCGAGACCUAAUGUAGUUUCGGAUACCAAAUAGUUUAAUACACGAAAAAAAAAAUUUAUAAAAUUAUAAUAUAAAAAGUUCUUUAAAAUUAUCACAAGUUCACAAUGCUAGUGCGUAAUAUAAGAAAAAACUAACAAGAUACUUGGGAAGUAAAAAAAAAGAAAGAAAAAACUGAACAAAAAUUCUACAAGAAAAGACUGUCAAUGGAAUCAAUUAUGGACUAUCAAAGGCCAUAAAGGAGAUUCAAGAAAUCCUUCGCGUGAAUGUUGUGUCUCAUCAUGAAAAGUAUCUUGCCUUGCCAUCUAUGGUAGGGAAAAACAAAAGACAAUUCUUCAAGUCGAUCAAGCUUCGAGUGCUCAACAAAUUAAAAGGAUGGAAGGCCAGGCUCUUCUCAAGCGGUGGGAAGGAAGUAUUGUUAAAGGCUGUCAUUCAAGCCACUCCUGUUUAUGCUAUGGGCGUUUUCAAGUUGCCAAAAUGCUUAUGCGAGGACCUACAGCGUUGCAUCACAAAUUGUUGGUCGGCCAACUAUGAUGACUCUAAAUGCAUUCACUGGCUUUCUUGGAAGAAUCUUUGCAAGCCAAGGAAGGACGGGGGGCAUGAGAUUUAGAUAUUUAGGUCCUGUUUGUGAUUGAAGUAUGCUGUUAAAAAAAAUUAUAGUUAUAUUAUAAAAAUUAAUAAUAUGUAGUAAAUAUAAAUUUUAAAUAAUAAUUUUGACAAAAUUAUUAAAGAUAUAAUAGAUUUUAUAUUAUACAAGUGAAAAAUCAUAUCAAUCUAAUUUUUAACUUAUAGCAGUUAGUAUUUACUGAACACUUUAGUGCUGUAGCUUAACCUCAAUCUCAAACGCGCUCUUAAGUUCCUUUAAUUAAGCGCUCUUGGCCAAGCAAUGUUGGGGAAUACUACAAGCACCUGAGUCUCUUUUGGCCAAAGUUCUUAAAGCUAGGUACUUUUCCAACACAAACUUCCUAAGUAGCAAAAUCAAAAGCGGCUCAUCUUUUGUAUGGAAGAGUACUCUAUGGGGCCGUGAAGCUAUCAACACUGGCUCAAGAUGGAGGGUUGGCGCUGGUAGGAGCAUAUUUAUUUAUAGAGAUAAUUGGAUGCCAAGUCCAUUAUCUUUUAAACCUAUAUCCCUGAAGACAUGCAUUGCCGAGUGAUUCUAAAGUUUCAGACCUGUUAAUAAAUGGUAACGAAUGGAAUGAGCAGCUAAUAAAGUAAUUCUUAAAAGGAGUCCCCUUGCCACGAGUCCCUACUAAUGACAUUUUAGUGUGGCGUUAUGAAAAAAAGGAGGAUUUUACACAGUUAAGAGUGGUUAUCAAGUGUCCCUUAUUCUCACUCAUCCUAAUUCCCCUUCAAGUUCAUUUGGCUCCGCUAAUUGGUGGUAUCCCUCUUGGCUUUUAACCAUUCCAUCUAAAGUCAAGAUCUUUUUCUGAAGAGCUCUACGCAAUAUACUCCCUACAUCAAAUAAUCUUUUUCAACGAAGGGUAGUGGAUUCCCCACAUUGUCAACGAUGUUACAGUGCUGUUGAGGACACCUUUCAUGUGCUAGUUAGCUGUAAGUUUGCGAUGAAGGUGUGGAAGUUGUCAACUAUGGCUGCUCACGUCACGAAUAGCCCUAAUAUGGAUUUUGCAUUUUUUUUGCUAAGAAUUUGGAAUCUUCGCUGUCAAAAGAGGACUACUAAUCUUUUGUGAUGAUUGCAUGGUCUAUUUGGCACUCUAGGAACAUAGCGCUCUAUCAACAUCAGAUGAUGGAUCCACAAAAUAUUCUUUGUGGCUGAAGCUGUUUUGAAUUCGACACUGCUACUCAAGGCUCCCCAAUUCAAGAGCUAUCGGUCUGUCCAACCGAGACGGAUGUUGGUUGGAUUCCACCAGAGACUCAUUGGUACAAAAUGAACGUUGAUGCAAACACUGACAUCUCUAAUGGAAUUACAAGUUUGGGUGCAAUAAAAAGAAAUUCCAAGGGAGAUUUCAUGGCUGCCUCAGCUCGCAAGAAAUCUUUUCUUGGUGACGUUGAGAUUACAGAUGCUGAGGUUGUCCUACAAUGCAUCAAGCUGGCGACAGAUUCGGACUUCUCUCCCUUGAUUGUCGAAUCUGACUCGGCAAAUGUUGUUCUUGUUGCAAAAAUAGUAUAUCGAUAUGCUACUUCGAUGGCACAUUUUGAGUGGGUUCCACGUAGCGAAUGUGGAAAAUCUUGUGAGGUUUGGAUUCUACUCCAUGAAAACUUCGAAAGUGUAUAUUUAUGUACUUAAAAUGGUGCUUGGCUGAAUGACAAAUUGUCUCUCAAAGUGCACUCUUGAAGUUGAAAAUUUGAAAGGAAAUGAGUUUUAUCCCACAAGGGAAAAUAAGUCAAGGGAUUUGUGUUUAUAUAUACACUUACCCAUGCAUGAGUAAGAAUUAUAAGGAUAGAGGUUUUCUCCACACGCGCAUGCGCCGGGGGAGGGGGUGUUGUAAAUUCUAGACUUAUUUGGUUAAAUUUGUGUGCGUCCGUGCGUCCUGCGCACGCGAAUAUCAGUCCAAAAUCACCCAAACUUGCAUGUCAAACAAGUUUUUAGAAAUUGUAAUACGCCCAUUAAUUAGCGAAAUUGACACUCUCUGUUAUUAACGAUCUUUGUUUGGUUGGAAGACCCUCUCGCAGACAUUGUGGUACACAUGUAAACUUUGUAUUUGUCCAGCAAGGAAAUGUUUUAAAAAAAAUAAAAAUUGUCGACUAUCAAAGGAACCGAUUCACUCUUAAACUUACAGUACACAAUAUUACAUGCCAAAUUAUGACUAAUUAUGCCUAAUGCAUUAAUAUCCUUUCACAACGGUGAAAUCUGAAGGCCCAAAAAUAUUGUCACUUGUUCAAGCCAAAAUAUUGAGGCCAGAUAAGCACCCUAAGGUCAAUAAAUAAUUAACGAAAUCAUACUAGCUUUCUAAUAAAAUCUAUCGAAAGUAAUAUAAAUUGAAAAAUGAUGGAGCACUUUUUAACCCUAAAGGCCUAAACUCAAAUUCACACCUUUAAGAAUGAAUUAAAAUCUAAUUAAAAAAAAGAUUUUAUAAAAAAAGAUUAUAUAAGGAUGAGUUUAUUAGUUGUACAUGGGUGACUUUUUUGAUAAAUAUAGAAAAUAAAUAAUUAAAUAGAGAUAUUUUUGACAUUAGAAUUUUAGUCGGUUUAUGCAGAAUUUUUAAUUUAGUAAAACGUAAAAAAAGAGGCUUAUUUUAUUCCAUCAAAAUUAUCUAAAAACCUCAUUAAAUCAUAAAAAUAACCAUCUUUAAUUGACUUAAUUAAUUAAGUUGUCAUUUAAUUAGAAAAAGAUACACCCCUUAGUUUUUAAUUCAAUUCGUAAUUAAACAGGAUACGUCUCUGUCAUUUGUGCACAAUUAAUAACAAUGCUUAUCCAGAAUCCUUUUAAUCGGCCUUUAAAUUGAAUAAGAAGAUGUUUGGAAGAAUUUUUUUAUCUCUAUCAUAAAUUGUGAGCAAGAAGAGAGGGCAUAUAACAACUAAGAGAAAAUAAGUACAAAGCACGAAAACCAGCUCUGCACUUUUUUCUAGUUCUUUCAGAUUCUGCACUCCGUUUAUUCCCCUCCCAUGUCAUGAAGAGAUGGGUCUUUUUCUCUUCUUCUUUUUUUUUUUUUUCCUAAUAUAAUUUCUAAAAGAAUUUAUGAACAAACAGGUAUUUAUAUGCACAAUUAAUCACGAGUCGCACAAACCAGUGAUUCCUGGCCACGAUCGUGCGAUAUUACGACAUUGCUGAUUUUUUUUCUUUUCUUUUCGUUGUGAGUAAUUAACAUAUAGGGCCCACCAACCACUGCAUCCCGAGAUUGCGUGCCAAAAUCAUGUAAAUUGAUUUUGGAAGUUUCGGAGCUAAGUACGCGUAGCAUUAUUACUGGAGAACAUUCAGCCUUCAAUGCUACGAGAAUUCUCGGGUUGUUGCACAUUGAUUUUGGAAGGUUGGUGCGCAGAAUGCCAUAGAAAAAGCUCACGCAACUCAGGUAAUUAUUUUUCCACGUGGCAGCUACAUGGAAAAUGAACGGGCACAGACUCCUAAAGUGCCACUAAAAUACAGUCGUAAUAGAUUAUACAAGCAAACGAAAGUUUUAAGAAAAAUGAAGUAUCAUUUCCGCAGCCCCUGCACAGAUUAGGGGAACUGCAAAGACAUGCUUUGACAAGAACAAAUCUCGAUUUCAAUCAUUCAGAAUAUUGACAUGCUGCACAAGAAAUUGAAUUCAUAUAUUUUCUGACCAAUGGUGAGUUGCAUCCCAUGGAUGCACUCCAUCAGCAGAACUGUCAACACACCAUGAUAUUUGUAUCCAGAAGACAAACUUUCCUAAAAAACACAACAUCAUUUAGCGAGCCAUUAAUCAGUUGACUGCUGUUAUGACAGCACUUUAUGCACGUAAUCAGAAGUAGACAUAUUUCGUCAAGCAACUCCCAUACAUUGCAUACUACAUGUAAUCCAGUCAAAUGUUUCUACCUCAUUCACAAGGAACAGUUAGGGCGUAUGUACCAAGAGAAGAGCUUUACUUCAGUGCUUCACCACUUCAAACUUGAAGCGGAGGUUGGAAAUCAUAACCGGGCACUCUCCUUUCUCAUCGUACUCGGCAUAGUCCCCUCCUGACAAGUCAAUGUCUUCAUACUGAGUCCCAGCAAGCUACACAAACAACUUACAGUUAGUUCGACAAAGCAAAACCAGAACAAAUAGAAUUUCUUUUUUUGGGGUCAUAGAGAAUUUUUCCUCAUAUUAAUCUCAGAUUAACGAGAUUAAUUUGACUCAUCAUCAUCGCACAAAUAAAAGAUGGCUUUAGUAACAACAAAUGUCUAUGAGGAUAGAAGCAAAAUGUGCAACAAGAAAAAGCAUCAACAGUAAUUAGAAGAAGAUAUAUUGAUGAUGAAUCUUCUUAGCUGCGGCAAAACAUUAACCCAAAAAGUACCAAGUGCAUUUACAGCUGUCUGCAUGGGAAUGAGAUAGUUAGGAGCACAGUAGAAAAAGAGGAGAAACAUGUGUAAUGCAUUCGCCUGUUCUUAUCGAAUGAAUGCAAGUUACACUUCAUCCAGCUCAUCUUUAAUACAGUUAGUAAGCAAAUAGAAUCUUCAAACAAGGUUUCCAUUCCAAAGUCUGCCCACCCUUCGCCAUUCAAGUCAAGAGUAAGCCGAUAGGAGACUGAGAGAGCAAAAAUCUAUUGUCAUGCUCUCCACCUAAAUAGAGAGGCAGAAACCAUAAAGGCUAAACUAGAGCAAAUAAUCAAACAAUAUGCUAACACAUUAAAGAAAAAGCUGGAAAGAAUUUGUAAACUAAAGAGCUCAAUGUUGAAAAUAUUCACAACCGUGAAAUGCAUAAAAAAGGAUAAGAUGUAUCUUAAAUGAAGAUGGUCAUGCAUAAUCAUAAAUACGAACACUCAACUUGCGCUCUGAUAACACAAUGCAGUGCUCACAAGUCAUUUCCAUCCACCACUUGAAAUAUGUCUAAUGUUUAGUGUUCAAAAACUAUGGGGAAAGGGCAAGAAUAGAAACUUACAGAUUCAACUUUCCAUCCAACACCAAAGACGAAAUCCACAGGCUCAUAACCCCUGCAGUCGAAUAACAUCAAGGGGCUAAAACCCCCAGAUUGAGCAGCUUCCUGGGUCAGUGGUUUACCCCGGCCUGGGAUCAUAGUAACAGUUCCUUCUCUCCCACAAAAUUUGCACUGUGAAGAAAGAUAUGGAGCCAGAAAAUCACCAACAACCAGAACACAGUCAUUUUAUAAAUAGAGUGAAAAAGUUUCAUCUGUAAUAUGUCACAGCAACACUUGAAAAUACAGACAAUAUGUCACGGUCAUUUAUACUACAAGUCUCUAACAGAUUAAUCUACCCAAGAAACUUGAAAAUAUGCAAGAAAUCCAUAGUACCAGAUCCUCAUUCCCACACCUUCAAAGUAAUUACUCAAGCUCAACCAAAGAAACUUAAUAAUUCUUUUUCCAUUCUAAAUCCAAGGCAUCAAAAAGCAUAUAUAGGUCAUUGAACAGAAAAAAAAUACAAUUUAUACUAGAAGUCCCAAGAAAAACUAUAUCUUGAAAGCUUGUCGCAUGCAAGCAAUUUUUACAAGAUAUCAAAAGAGCUGAAGAAUUACAUUCAAAUCAUAAAAAGAAAAGCUCUGAAGUUCACAAAGAAUCAUGAGGAUACAUUAUAGAGUUAUGUUCUAUCAUGAUUCCAUGAACUCGUUCACAACAACAGUAACAGAAAGGCCUUGGUUUUAAGUCCAAGAAAUUGAUUUGUUACACUAUGCUACUGCUAAACAUCUCCAGUUUGACUACAAACAAUAAUAUACAUCUAAGCUCAAAUGGCACCAAUUUUAACUAGCUUGAUGAAUAUAUAUAUUCAAUUAGGGAUCUCUGGUUGUAUUAAAGUUGGGAAUAAGCUAACAGACAAAAAAAAAACAGACUCCAGUGCAGUGUAUUUUGUUCCGUAUUGUGUUGAAAUUUGUGUUUUCUGUCAUUUAACUUAUCCCUAACGUUAAUAUGAUCAGGGAUCCCUGAUAGAAAACUCUCUCUCUCUCUCUCUCUCUCUCUCUCUAUAUAUAUAUAUAUAUAUAUAUAGAUAUAUGUGUGUGUGUGCGCGCGCAAUAGUGAUGUACUGCAACCUAUUUUAAUCUCCACUGCAAGUGUAUAUUACUUGAAACAAUUUACAUUAGCAAUAUCUGGUACAAGUAUCAUGACUACAGACCAUCUAAUUGCAUCAUUUAUCUAAAGAUAAAUGAUUAAAUGAAAUAUGUAACUUCACUAAACUAAGCCUGAGGUACCAGUAUAACAGCUUUUCCUUCACAGUUUGAUCAUUUGGUUAGAGCAUAUAUCUAUUUAAAGUCCUCGCAAUAAGACAAACAAGAUCACUCACAUUUUAAUACAUACACAAAGAGAGGAAGAGAGAGAGGUAUUACUUUUUGAAUGAGAUUUGUGGUUCCCUUGCCUCCUUGAGUAGGAAGAGUUUCAGCCAAGCUCACACAAGUUUCUUUCUGGCUUAGUUCUCCGCAUCCACACUUCAACUACACCUCACAAAAAAUAAACAGAUAAACAUCUAAUUCAGAGAGCAUUGCAAGAUUAAAAUUCAAUUCCAACAUUAACUAACUAGAAUCAACAAAACAAACAUAUAAUAUAAUUUGAUAAGAGUGAUAUACAAUGUUACUGAAAAUCAACUUAUAUGAACAUCCAUAAGCAUAUAUAAAUCAGAUCUGAAAAUAAUAUGAUGAGUGACAGAGAUUGAACUGAAUAUAAUCAUUAUACAUAAAAACACAAACAUACAUAACAGGAGACAACAAAUUUGAACACUUAGAAAAAGAAUCAAAACAAAAAAUCCAAAGCAAAACAAGGUGAAGAGCAUUACUAGAGAUCAUAGUCACAAUAAUCAUCUGUAUUUGAAAAUCAAGUAAAAUGAGUAACCUAAAACCAGAAACCUAAAAAUAAGUACUCGCAUUCAUUUGGUGUACGAGAGAGAGCAAUGAAAACAGAAAAGAAAAAUCCAUACCGAAAUUCAUCCAUUAUGUGAAGCAAAGCGAGCAGUGCAAGAAGUAAAUACGAAGUAAAGAAGAAUCAAGAGCGGCGAAACGGAGGUAAUACUGAGGGAGAGAAAGAGAGGGGACCUUGAAGAAGUAAGAGAAGUUAGGAUCGUCGCAGCCGCCUUGAGGUUGGAGAUUGGUGAGGUUCUCGAGAUCGGCGCUGAUCAUCAGCAUGCAAUUCACCAUUUUCGCUUAGCUUUCCAGUGCCAAAAUAUUCUCUCUCUAUUUUUUCAGCGUGCUGGAUGGACGGAUGGGUUGAGACUUGAGAGAGACAAGGUAAGUGCUCGCCGCUUCGAUCGAGGGAAUUCUAUUAUACGCGCGUGGCUUGGCGAAUGUUGCCCGCCCACGGAGAUUACAUCGAUACGAUAAUUGUUUUGAACGACAUGUCGUAUUUUUCUUGGAUGGUAAACAGACAAGACGUUUAUACUUGGUGAAAAUGCUACAAUUUUGUAAUCGGGAUUUGUAUGACCAACUAGGGUCGCAUAAAGUCAGUAGAGUUUGGUAUACAUGUACAAAUAAUUUGUUACGUGCUUUGUAUCUAAGCUGGAGAUAGUAUUAUGAUUUUAAAAAAAUUUUCAAACGAAAAAUUUUAACGAAAUCUUUCAAUUUUUUAUUUCAUUGUAUUUAACUCUAUAUAUUUCUCUAUUCGUAGAGUACAUUGAAUGUACAAAAAUAGUUAUAACAUAAUUCUUAUUAUUUGUAUUAACAGUUACUCUAUAAACAAUGUUGUUGUGAAGCUGUUAGUUUAAUUAUGUUACUAGUAUGCUGACGUGGCGAGCUGAGCUGGAGUGUGGGCCUGCUGUUAGUUAGAAGCCGUUAUUAUUAACGGUUGAUUCCAAAAACAGAGGCAUGCAUAUAUAAGGGUUGGUUUGUGGCAUAGUUAGCGUGUGAUUUUAAGGGUGAUAGAGUGAGAGAUAAUAAAUUCUGUAAACUAAAGAUUUAAUCUCUGCACUCCAUAGAUUCUUUGUGUAAUCGUCUCCAUUAAUAAAGCUUAAGCCUUCUGCUGGUUUUUCAGCCGUUGAUGUAGGUACCUUGAUACUGAACCACGUAAACUCUUUCUCUGUGCUUGCUUCUUGGUUCUUGGUUCUUGUUGAAUCUUACUGUUGUUAUUUGUUUCUAAUUCUAGUUCUUGGUUGUUCUGAGUUGAUCCUAUUAUGUUAACUAGUUCAAGGUGGUUGCAUUUGUCGAUUAAGCAUUAACAAACUGGUAUCAGAGCUUGGUUCAUUGAGGCUGUUCUUGAUCAAAAUGACGACCACCAGAUUUGAUCUCGAAAGGUUUAAUGGUGAUAACGACUUCUACGUCUGGAGUCUUAAGAUGAGAGCAAUUCUCAUCCAGUAAGGGCUUGAUAGUGCUCUUGAUGAUGAAGAUGAAGAUCCAAAGGGCAAGAAAGAACAUGCAUAGGGCUCAUCAAUAUUAGGAGGAGAUCAGAAAACCAUUAAUAACAAGGCUCACAGCACCAUUAUCCUACAUCUCUCUAAUGAAGUGCUGAGAGAGGUUGCAAAAGAGAAGACUACAUCAGGAUUAUGGUCAAAGUUGGAAGACUUAUAUUUGAAGAAGUCAGUGGCCAAGAGAUUAUAUAUGAAGAGGAGACUGUACACCUUCUCCAUGAAAGAGGGAGUAGCUAUAAAUGAUCAUUUGGAUGAAUUCAAUAAGCUAAUCUUGGAUCUUGAAAAUGUAAACAUCGAUUUGGAAGAUGAAGAUAGGGCACUAAUUUUGCUAAGCUCCCUGCCUGAUUCAUUUGAGCAUUUUGUUGAUACUCUUUUAUAUGGAAGGCAGACUCUCAUGUUAAAGGAUGUUAAAAGUGCCUUGGAAUCAAAAGAUUUGAAGAAGAAAUCUAAUGGGAAAGAUCAAAGCUAUGGGGAAGGAUUAACAGUCAAGUCAAAGGCAAAUAAAAAAAACAGCAAAGAAAAGAAAAAUACCAACCAGAAAGAUAAAAUAGAGAAAAAGAAAAAUAAGAAGAAAUGUUAUUUUUGUCAAAAAGAAGGGCACUAUAUGAAGGAUUGUUUUGAGAAGAAAAAGCUUGAGAAGCUUCAAAAGGAAUCAAAUAGGAAGGUUGCCCUUGUGUCAGAGGAUGAAGGAGACUCAGAGGGUGCUGAUGUUCUAGUAACAGUAGAAAAGCAUCAAAUUGGUGAGUGGAUACUUGACUUUGGGUGCUCUUUCCAUAUGUGCCCAAAUAAGCAUUUCUUUAAGACAUUUAGAAGUAUUGAGGGUGGUAAAGUGUUGUUGGAAAUGACUUAGCUUGUAAAGUUGCUGGAAUUGGAACCAUUGAUAUAAGGGAAAUUAUCAAUCAUAUACCCUUAAAUGACAUCCAUAUCAAACGUGUGUGAACACUUUUCAAGUGUAUCACUCGUAUACCAUAAGUUGACAAAACACUUAUGUCGUCCACCAAUUUGUUAACUUCCGUUAGAAAGUUAACAGAAUUGUGACAAAUUGACUAUUUUGCCCUUGAAACUCAAAAUGAGGUAAAAAUAUAAAUUUACCCAAAAAAUUAACGUAAAUUUUCAAUACACAAUUUUUUUUUUAAUUUUUUUUAUUAACAAUACAUUUUUUUGAUUAAAAAAAUGAAUUAUUAAUGGUACAUAAUAUUAACAAUUAUCCAUAAAAAUAUCCAUAUUAUACCAUAAAAAAUUAUUAACAAUAUAUUAUUUACAAUUAUAUAUAUUAUACCAUAAAAUUUUUUAGUUGGAGCUUGGAAGAGUAGAUCUUCAAAAAUUUAGGUUAAAUUUUGGAGGAGUAGAUUCGGUUGUAAAGUAAUUUUUUUAGUAAUUAUUAAUAAUUAUCCGAUAAAUGGGAUGACAUGUCGUUUUUUUUAAUCAAAGUUUCAUCAAUUUUAAAAGACUAAAUUACCCUUAUGAUGUCAGCGCUUGCAAACGGAAGUUAACGGAUUGGUGGACGGCAUAAGUGUUUUGCCAACUUAGGGUAUACGAGUGAUACACUUGAAAAGUGUUCACAUACGUUUGAUACGAGUGUCAUUUAAAGGUAUAUGGUUGAUAAUUUCCAUUGAUAUAAAAAUAUUUGAUGGUGAAAUUAGAAACUUAGAUCAAGUAAGAUAUGUACCAAAACUUAAAAGAAACCUUAUAUCACUAGGCAUGUUUGAUCAAAUUGGCUGUAGUAUUAGAGCUGAAAAUGGUGAGAUUCAUGUGAUGAAAAAUGGUACUACCAUCAUGAAAUGAGUUAGAAAGAAUGGCUUUUAUGCUCUAGUAGGGUCUUGUCUCUUACCUGGAAUUACAACCACUAUGAGUAAUGAUAAAACCAAGCUGUGGCACAUAAGGCUAGCACACAUAAGUGAGAGAGGGUUAAAAGAAUUAGAGAAACAAGGUUUGUUUGGUGAAGACCACAUAUCCUCAUUAGAAUUAUGUGAAAAAUGUGUUUUUGGUAAAGCUACAAUGCAAAAAUUCAAUACAGGAAGAAAAGAAAUAAAACAGACCUUGGACUACAUUCAUUCAUACCUAUAGGGACCAUCACAUGUUCCCUCUCAUGGUGGAGCUAGGUACUUCAUAACCUUCAUUAAUGACUACUUAAGGAAUGUUUGGAUUUAUAUGUCAAAAUAGAAGAGUGAGGCUCUGAAGAAGUUCAAAGAAUGGUUAACACUUGUAGAAAAUCAGACUGGUAAGAAGAUAAAAAGGCUAAGAACAGACAAUGGACUGGAGUACUGCAGCAAUGAAUUUGAUGAAUUUUGUAAGAGCAAGGGCAUAGCAAGGCACAGAACAGUAAGGCACACCCCACAGCAGAAUGACCUUGCCGAAAGGAUGAAUAAAACCUUACUUGAGAAAGUAAGGUGUAUGAUGUUCAAUACAAACCUAUCUAAGCAUUUCUAGGCUGAGGCAGUUACAACAGCAGCUUAUCUAGUGAAUAAAAACCCUUCAUCAGCCUUAAACUUCAGAACUCCACAAGAAGCUUGGUCAGGAAAACCACUAGAUCUUACUAACCUCAAAAUCUUUGGCUGCAAUGCAUAUGCUCAUGUUAGUUAGGGCAAAUUAGAGCCAAGAGCAUUGAAAUGAUACUUUAUAGGAUAUCCAAAAGGCACCAAAGGGCAUAAGAUCUGGUGCAUACAUGACAAGCCCUCAAGAACUCUAAUCAAUAGGGAUGUGGUGUUUGAUGAAGACUCAAUGCUGCUGUCUAAAGUAGAAAAUGAGGUAAUGUCUACUGGUUCAUAUAGAAAACAAGAUGCUGAGUUGAAGGUGGAGCAUGUUGAUUGCUAUCAACCUGCAGAAAUGACUCUAGAGAAAUCUGACAAGGAGCUCAAAUCCUAUGAGCUUAACAAUUAUCAGCUUGCAAGGGAUAAAGAGAGGAGAACAAUAAAAAUGCCUAAGAAAUAUGGCAUUGCUGACCUUAUCUCAUAUGCACGGAGUGUUACUGAAGAACUAAGUGGUGAAGAACCUAUGAGCUAUAAGGAAGCCAUGUGUAGAAGAGAUAAAGCUAAAUGGCUUGCUGCAAUGAAAGAAGAAUUAGCCUCUCUUAAGAAAAACAACACCUGGAUCUUGGUAGAAAAACCCUUCAAUAAAAGACUAGUAGGCUAUAAAUGGAUUUAUAAGCUCAAGGAUGGAGAGUCUGCUGAUAAACAACCCAGGUACAAGGCAAGACUGGUAGCUAAAGGCUUCACACAGAAAGAAGGAGUAGAUUUUAAUGAAGUGUUCUCACCAGUGGUAAAAAACAGCUCCAUAAGGUUGUUGCUUGCUGUUACUACUUUUCUUGACCUGGAGUUAGACCAAAUGGAUGUAAGAACUGCCUUUUUACAUGGUAACCUUGAUGAAGAAAUCUUUGUGACACAACCUGAGGGUUUCAUAGAAGAAGGGACUGAAGAUAUGAUGUGUUUACUUAAGAAAAGUUUAUAUGGCUUAAAGCAGUCUCUAAGGCAGUGGUAUUUGAGAUUUGAUUAGUUUAUGAGCAGCCGUGGUUACAGCAGAAGUCAGUAUGACACUUGUGUGUACUACAGAAGCUUGACUCAUGACAGCUACAUCUACUUACUUCUCUAUGUGGAUGACAUGCUCAUUGGAUGCAACCAGAGGGAAGCCAUAGAGGAACUCAAAAUGCAGCUCAGCACUGAGUUUGAAAUGAAAGAUUUAGGUGCUGCAACGAAAAUUCUGGGUAUGCAGAUUGUAAGAGACAGACCAGCAAGAACUUUGUUCUUUACUCAGGCUGGUUAUGUAAGGAGAGUGCUCAAUAGGUUCAUCGUGGACAGUGCUAAACCUGUGUUGACACAUCUGUCAACUCAUUUUAAGCUCUCUAAGCUCUAUGAGCCAACAACUGAUGUAGACAUAGAAUAUAUAAAGAAUAUUCUCUAUUCAAAUGCAGUGGGGAGUGUUAUGUAUGCUAUAGUCUGUUCCAGGCAGGGGUGUCAAAAACCCCGCCCGGACCGGAUCUGACCUGAACCCGGCCAAUCCGGUCUGGGAAAAAUCCGGACCGCAUAUACUGAAAAAGUGGAUCCGGGUUUCAGAAUUUAAAACCCGGACAUUUCCGGACAUGGUCCGGGUUCAGCACUAAAAACCCAAAACCCGAACCCGGACCCGUUUUCCGAAUAAACUUAAAAAAAAAAACUAAAACUAGUUACCCAAACCCAAAUCGCAAAACACCUAAAUCCGAAAUCCCUAAUUCCCCAAAUCGCAAAACACCCAAACCCAAAGGCAUAAGCAGCGAUGCUACCACCGUCACCGUUGGCUAGCACCCACCGUCAGUCCGUCACCGUCGCCCCUCGGCAGUCGGCAGUCGGUAGUCGGCAUCAUCUCUUCUCGUUUGGCAUUUACUGACUCGGUUUUGCUCGAUUUUGCUCGGUUGUGGCUGUGACGGGAGUUGUUCGUGCAGCGGCAGCAGCGCAGUGCAGCCCCCUCCGGCGCCGUCAGCGUCAGCGUCUGCGCCACCGUCUCCAACUCUCCAUUGCCACUUUGUCAUCCACCAUCAGUCCAUCACUCUGCCAUCACAGCCACCACUACCAGCCGCAGGUAUUGAUUUUUUUCCUUCCAUAUUUUGUCUUCCUAGUUGCAUUUUUGCCAAUUGCUUCUCCAUUGGUGUUGGUUGUUGCUAUUCGUGUUUAUCUUCGGCCAAUUUUGUGCAUUUUGACCGUAGAAUAUGAGGAAAAUAUGGCCAAUUUUGUGAGGGAUCCUUAUUGCCUGCUCGUAUAAUGACAAUGUUGAUAAGCAGAGAAAAUAAUAAUCACGGGAAAAGCAAUUUUGUGCAUGGUUGCUGACUUAUAGUGUGAGCCUGUGAUUACUGUAACUGUUGCUCUUUUUUUUCGGCCAAAUCCUUUUGCCUAUUUUAAUUUUAUGUUGCUGAUUUACUGUGAGCCUAUUAGUUAUGUAAUCUGUGAGCCUGUUAGUUAUGUAAUGAUAAGUUUAUUCGUGUUUAUCUUCGACCAAUUUUGUGCAUGGUUGCCGACUUGCUGUGAGCCUGUGAUUACUGUAACUGUUGCUCUUUAAAUCAAUUCUUCGAGUGCUCCAGAUUUAUCUCGUAAUGUUGAAGAUAAAAUUGAUAAUGAGGUUGAGGAAAUUUCAGUGUCAACCGUGAAUGAUAAGAAAAGUAAGGAAGAAACUAGAAAAAAGAAGAAAGUCUCCGAAGCUUGGGAGCACUUUACAAAAAUAAUGGUAAAUGGAGAACAAAAGGCAAAGUGCAUGCAUUGUAGUGCAAUUUUAAAAGCAAAAUACCAAUCUGGGACUUCAACUUUGAAUAGGCACGUGGCAAUGUGUUUUAAGUAGAAUCAACCAGACAUAGAAGAAGCACUUCAAGGAAGCCUUAAAGUGAUUAAAAGAGAGGAUGGAACUUGUGGCAUUAGUUAUGGCAGUUUUGAUCAAAAUGUUUUACGGAGUUUGAUAGCAAGAAUGGUUAUAAUGCAUGAGCUUCCACUUACAUUCGUAGAAUAUAUAGGCUUCCGAGAAAUGAUGACACACAUAUAGGCUUCCGAGAAAUGAUGGCACAUGCUAACCCCGUGGUUAAGCCAAUGAGCAGAAACACUUUGAAGAGCGAAAUCUUGAAGUUAUAUCAAAUCGAGAAGGUUAAGACUUUGCAUUUAUUGGGGAAAAAUCAUGGUAGAGUAGCCAUUACUACAAAUUUAUGGACAGCUAGUAAUCAGAAAAAUGGAUAUAUGGUCGUGACGGCCCAUUUCAUAAUGACAAUGUUGAUAAGCAGAGAAAAUAAUAAUCACGGGAAAAGCAAUUUUGUGCAUGGUUGCUGACUUAUAGUGUGAGCCUGUGAUUACUGUAACUGUUGCUCUUUUUUUUCGGCCAAAUCCUUUUGCCUAUUUUAAUUUUAUGUUGCUGAUUUACUGUGAGCCUAUUAGUUAUGUAAUCUGUGAGCCUGUUAGUUAUGUAAUGAUAAGUUUAUUCGUGUUUAUCUUCGACCAAUUUUGUGCAUGGUUGCCGACUUGCUGUGAGCCUGUGAUUACUGUAACUGUUGCUCUUUUUUUUUGGCCAAAUCUUUUUGUCUUUUUUAAUUUUAUGUUGCUGACUUGCUGUGAGCCUGUUAGUUUUAUGUCUCUGUCUCUCUUUUCUGUUCACUUUUUCGUUUCCACACUAAAAUCUGAAAUUUAGUAUAUCUUUGCUAUUGUAACAGCAGAGUAGUGCAAUGUCGGACAAUGUGAAAAUCAAUUCUUCGAGUGCUCCAGAUUUAUCUCGUAAUGUCGAAGAUAAAACUGAUAAUGAGGUUGAGGAAAUUUCAGUGUCAACCGUGAAUGAUAAGAAAAGUAAGGAAGAAACUAGAAAAAAGAAGAAAGUCUCCGAAGUUUUGGAGCACUUUGCAAAAAUAAUGGUAAAUGGAGAACAAAAGGCAAAGUGCAUGCAUUGUAGUGCAAUUUUAAAAGCAAAAUACCAAUAUGGGACUUCAACUUUGAAUAGACACGUGGCAAUGUGUUUUGCAGAAUUAACCAAACAUAGAAGAAGCACUUCAGGGAAGCCUUAAAGUGAUUAAAAGAGAGGAUGAAACUUGUGGCAUUAGUUAUGACAGUUUUGAUCAAAAUGUUUUACGGAGUUUGAUAGCAAGAAUGGUUAUAAUGCAUGAGCUUCCACUUACAUUCGUAGAAUAUAUAGGCUUCCGAGAAAUGAUGACACACGCUAACCCUGUGGUUAAGCCAAUGAGCAGAAACACUUUGAAGAGCGAAAUCUUGAAGUUAUAUCAAAUCGAGAAGGUUAAGACUUUGCAUUUAUUGGGGAAAAAUCAUGGUAGAGUAGCCAUUACUACAAAUUUAUGGACAGCUAGUAAUCAGAAAAAUGGAUAUAUGGUCGUGACGGCCCAUUUCAUUGACAAUUCCUGGAAAUUGCAUAGUCGAAUCUUAAGGUAAUUUGUCUAUAAUUUUUUAUUUGCUUAAUUUUUCUUUUUAGUUUAUUAUUACUUAUAUUAGAUUUUUUUUUCAAGUUUAAAUUGUAAUAUAUUUUAAGUUUGUGUAUUUAAUACCGACUUUUGAAUAUUUGAUAGGUUCGUCUAUGUUCCAAGCCCCCAUACUGCUGAUGCCCUUUGUAAUGAGUUAGUACAAUGCCUAUUGGAUUGGAACGUGGAUAGAAAGUUAUCCUCAGUGACAUUGGAUAAUUGUACCACUAAUGACGCAAUGGUGGAGAAAUUAUUGUUAAUGUUUGAUACCGAUACCUUAAUUUCUAGUGGUAAAUUUUUUCAUAUGAGAUGUACUGCUCAUAUAUUGAACUUGGUUGUGCGGGAUGGGUUGAAAGUUAUAGAAAGUGAGAGUGGAAAGAUUAGAGAGAGUGUGAGUUAUUGGACACAAACACAAAAGAUAUGAAACUUUUGAGUUAGCUGCUAGACAAUUACAAAUUAAUUGUAAAAAAAAAUUGAAAUUGGAUUGUCCUACUCGUUGAAACUCUACUUAUGCCAUGCUUGAAGUAGCAUUGAUGUAUAAAAGUAUUUUUUCUCGGUUGCAACAACGUGAGCCUCAGUAUAAGAGCUUGCCAAGUGAUGAGGAGUGAGAUUUGACAGUCAUAAUGGUGGAGCAUUUGAAAUCAUUUUGCAUAUUAAUGGAGAUGUUUUCGGGUAAAAAAUAACCAACUGCUAAUUUGUUUUUUCCGUUGAUAUGUAAAAUGAAAUUGUCAAUUAAUAGGUGGCGCACUGCUGAUAACCUUGCUAUUAGGAUUAUGGCUGAUAAAAUGGCUGAUAAAUUUGACAAAUAUUGGAAUGAAAUUCAUCCGAUGUUAGUUGUGGCUGUUGUGCUUGACCCAAGAUAUAAGAUGAUGUUAAUUCAUUUUUAUUUUCCAAAGAUAUAUGGUGAUACAGCAGAUGAGCUUAUUGAGUGUGCACAUAAGCUUUGUUAUGAUUUAGUGAAAGAAUAUGAAUCGAAGGCAGUGCAUGUGAGUGAUGGGCAGAAUGUUGGAUUGGAAAUUUCUCAUUCUGAAUCUUGUUCGAAUUCGAAUAAGUAUUGGGAUGUAGAUGAGUUUGAAACAUUUUGAAGCCAAAAUAAACGUGCUAAGGUAACUAAGUCGGAGUUGGAUAGGUAUUUAGAUGAGGAAUUGUUGGAUUCUAUUCCGGACUUUGAUAUUUUAGCUUUUUGGAAGAUGCACACAAGCCAAUAUCCUAUUUUGGCUGAGUUAGCUAAGGAUAUCUUAGCCAUUCCUGUAUCCAUCGUUGCCUCUGAGUAAGCUUUUAGUGCUAGGGGCAGAUUUUUUAGUCUGCAUUGUAGUAAACUUCUUCCUGACACUUUGGAAGCCUUAAUGUGUGCUCAAAAUUGGAUUUGGGCUUCUACUUUUGGAGGUAUAAAGUUAUUUGAAUUAUAUUUUAGUAGUAUUUAUUUGCUUAAAAUGCUUUGAAUUUUAAUGUGUUAUUUUUGUUGUAAGGUGGAGUUUUGGAGGAUGAGAUUUUUACUGGGGAGGAGGUAAUUUCGGAUGAUGAUGAUGAGCCACAAGCGUCGAUGAGUAGCAUGACAUGAACUUUUAUUUAUUUAUUUGGAAUUAGACAUGAACUUGUUAUUUAUUUAUUUUACAUGGGGGUGUUUUGACUCUUUUAUGAACUAUUGUUUGAGUUGUUGAACAUUUUAGGAUUUUCAUGUGUUGUAUUGAUAAUUGGUGUCAUAAUUAUGAACUUAUGAUAUGUUGGAUGUUAUUUAGAUUUAUUGUGUUAUUGAAUUUAAUUUUUUUUAUAUAUAUAGAUUGAAUGAGUUUAGGUUAGAAGUUAGAUGAAUUUUUAUUUAUUAUUUGUGCAAAAAUUGUAUUGUUAGUAUGUUAUAAGUUUGUAUUUAACUAUUUCUCUAAUUUCUCUUUGACUUAAGUUUGAGAUUUAUCUUGUAUUAUGAUACACAAGAAAUGUGCAUGCAUGUUGUAUUGUUGUUUCACUUGUUUGGUGAUAUUUAGGUGUCAUACAAAGACAUAAAAAUGAAAGAAAUUUUUUUUGAAAUAAUUGUUUGCGGGCUUAGAAGCCCGGAAGACAAAACCCGGACCCGGGACACGUCGGGCUCAAGCCCGGACCGGACAUGCAAAAGCCGGGUUUUGUCCGGGUCCGGGUUUCAAUUUUUGGCGUCCGGUUCGGUCCCGGGUUGCACCAAACCCGGACCGGACCUGGGGUUUUGCCAAGCCUAGUUCCAGGCCUGAUAUAGCAUAUGGUGUUGGAGUUGUCAGCAGGUUCAUGGGAAAUCCAGGCAAAGAGCACUGGAAUGGAGUCAAGUGGAUAUUGAGAUAUCUUAAGGGGACUUCUGAUCAUGGAAUUUUGUUUGGGAAAGUCAAUGGAGCCACCUGUGAGGUUGCUGGUUUUGUAGACUUAGACUUUGCAGGUGAUCUAGAUAAAAGAAUAUCCAUAACUGGUUUUGUUUUUACCAUGUGUGGAGGUGCUAUUAGCUGGAAAGCUUCACUGCAGUCAGUUAUUGCUCUCUCAACAACUGAAGCAGAAUACAUUGCUCUAACUGAGGCAGUAAAGAAGGCAAUCUGGCUGAAGGGUUUAGUUUCUGAGUUGGGUUUCAAGCAAGAGACAGUCACAAUUAGCUGUGAUAGCUCUAGUGCUAUACAGUUAAGUAAGAAUCCCAAGUAUCAUGAGAGAACUAAGCAUAUAGACGUGAUGUUACACUUUAUAAGGGAGGAAAUCAGUAGUGGUGUGGUGAGUGUUGUCAAAAUACCUUCUAAGGUUAAUCCAGCUGACAUGCUUACUAAGCCACUACCAACAAUUAAGUUCACGAGUUCUUUGAACUCGAUUGGACUUGGUAACAUGUGAACUAAGUCUCAAAUGCUGAAACAGAGGUGGAGGAAAGCUUGAAGUCAGAAUAAACUAAGGUGGAGAUUUGUGAAGCUGUUAGUUUAAUUCUGUUACUAGUAUGCUGACGUGGCGAGCUGAGCUGGAGUGUGGGCCUGCUGUUAGUUAGAAGUCGUUAUUAUUAACGGCUGAUUCCAAAAACAGAGGCAUGCAUAUAUAAGGGCUGGUUUGUGGCAAAGUUAGCGUGUGAUUUUAAGGGUGAUAGAGUGAGAGAUAGUAAAUUCUGUAAACUAGAGAUUUAAUCUCUGCACUCCAUAGAUUCUUUGUGUAAUCGUAUCCAUUAAUAAAGCUUAAGCCUUCUGCUGGUUUUUCAGCCGUGGUUGUAGGUACCUUGGUACUAAACCACGUAAACUCUUUCUCUGUGCUCUUCUUCUCUUUGCUUGCUUCUUGGUUCUUGUUGAAUCUUGCUGUUGUUAUUUGUUUCUAAUUCUAGUUCUUGGUUGUUCUGAGUUGAUCCUAUUACGUUAACUGGUUCAAUGUGGUUGCAUUUGUCGAUUAAGCAUUAACAGUUGUUUUGCGGUGCUAAUGACUUAACACUAUUUUUAUAGUUUCAGAAUGUUUCUUUUAAGGCAUAUUGGUUGUUAUUCGCUCUAUAGUCUAUAGAGACAUGUUUUAUAUUUGAUAGGUGAACGACAUCUACCCCGGAGGCGAAUUUGAAGACCGUGCAAGUACGUCUUCUUCGCAAGUCUAGCUAAUUAUUUCGCAUGCAGUUUUCAGUGUUAUGGGCUGUUCUUCGAAAACCCAAAACCAUGCCUAGCAGAUUGCUUGAUGAAACGGUGCCGUUUAACACUUUCAAUAAUUUAAACAUGGAUGUUGAGCCACACACACACACGUAUAUGAAAUGUCUGUUUAUUCUCUUUCUCCUAGCUAGCCGAUGACAAUGAACUCACAAAACAAAUUAAACUUGCAUGCGCACAGUAUGCAAAUUAAGAAGGCGCCAUCUGCAGAAGCCACUUGAAAUGGCACAUGCUGCAUCUCAAAUAUUGAAGAUGCGUCAUGCAUGUAAACUUAAAGCGAAUGAGAGUAGAAAGGUGAAUCAUGCAAAUUUGGUGUCUUCAAAAUUGCGCUCCAACUAAUAUUAACAGCAAAGAAUUUUCCAUGUCACUUCUGUUUGAUUACCAAAAGUAUAUAUGUGCUGCCUUUUAAGGAGUUCUUGUAUAUUCAAUAAUCAUUGUUGUGUAAAAAGAAAAUUAUUCUAACUUCUACUUAAUUGCAUUUAUAUGUUGUGAAUUUAAAAUAAUUGGUGAAAAGGUUCUGUGAUCCCAUGGAGUAUAUACUGGGAUGCAAAGGGUUCAUAAUUCUACUAGGAGUAACUUUUGUAAUAAGUUAUGAGUUUGCAAAGGGUGAGAUAAUCUCCGGACAAAAGAGUUCCUAUAUUGGAAGGAAAGUAAAUCAUCUCAACAGCAACGGCAAUGUAGUGAAAAGCAUUCAGGUAUGUAUAUAUAAAUAUAACUUCUUUGACCUAUAUUUUUAAGUUAUGUAUCAUUGAAACUUCUUGGUCCUUAUAGAGUGAAGAUGGAGAUAUUAUCGAUUGCGUCUGCAUUUACAAGCAGCCAGCAUUUGAUCAUCCUGCUUUAAAGGAUCAUAUUAUCCAGGUACAAGUACAACACUUCUAGUAUUUUCUUUUAAAUAAAAAAAUUCAAUAAUGUUACCACUAUGUAUUUGAUUCAGAUGACACCCACUUAUGAUCCAAAUGGGAAGACAGUGACAACAGGAUCAGCUGAUACAGAAACAUCCACGACUGUUAUGGCAUCACAAAUAUGGAGAAAAAAUGGAAGCUGUCCUGAAGGAACAAUACCAGUGAGAAGAAUUCACAACUCGAAUUCCUUUGAAGGUUAUGGCAGGAAGCAGCCAAGCUUCUAUCAUCGUGUUAAGCAGCUUAAUGAUAUUAAGCAACCAAACCUUCAGCAACCAAAUCAUUCAGUAAGAUUCAAUCAUACAUGAUGGAGUGAUAAAACUAUACUUAAUUUUUGCAAAUAUGUCUUUAUCUGACUUGGCUUUGUGUAAAAAUAUUAGAAAGCAAUACUGCUUACAGUAGGGUACAUGUUUUCUGGAGCAAAAGGAGACAUCAAAGUCUGGAACCCUUUUGUUGAAUCAGAUGAUGAGUAUAGUACUUCUCGUGUUAGUCUGCAAAGUGGCCCUUACUAUGACUUUGAGAGCAUCGAGUCUGGAUGGGCGGUUAGUACUAAUUUAAUUAUGAAGCCACUCAAUUGUCUUCAAGUUCAUUAUCAUUCAUUAAAGAAUCUCUUAAUCCCCACAAUUCUUUCUUUCUUUUAUUUUAUUUUAUUUUAUUAAUUUAUUAAUUUUUGCCUAAAUUUUCAGGUAAAUCCAAGAGUGUAUGGGGACAGAAAAACUCGAUUAUUUGUAUAUUGGACUGUAGGUUUAUGCCAACCAUGACUUAAAAAUGUUGUAAUGCAUAUUGCUGUAUCAAUAAACAAUGUUUUGUUCAUGUAUUAGGCCGACGCAUCAAAGACAACAGGGUGCUUUGAUGUCACUUGCCCCGGUUUUGUUCAAGUCAGCAACGAGAUUGCGCUUGGUGCAGCAAUUUAUCCCAUUUCAAAUCCUAAUGGGCUUCCAUAUCAGAUCACUAUAUACCUCUUUAAGGUCGGAGAAAAUGCAGCUUUAUUUUGAUUUAAUUAAUAGUUUGCAGGGGAAGCAAUAAUGGAUUUUCACAUUUUUCUGAUGGAAGGUUCUUUUACUUGCAACUUCCUAUUGGUUCAUCUCUUAUCUUUUCUGAUUUCAGGAUCCGGACACAGGCAACUGGUGGAUGCAAUAUGGAGAAAAAAUCAAUGUAGGUUACUGGCCCCCUAAGUUGUUUAGUUUGUUACCCAGUGGUGCAGAAAGUGCCGAAUGGGGAGGCGAGGUCUAUAGCUCGAAGUUGGAGAAUCCUCCUCACACAGCAACAGCAAUGGGAAAUGGGCAUUUUCCUGAUUAUAUUUCCGGUAAUUCAGGCAGUGUCAAGAGAAUUAGAAUUCUUGACAAUUCUCGUACAUUGAAGUUUCCCGAAUGGGUGUAUAGUUACACAGACCAGUACAACUGUUAUGGUGUCGAUUAUGUUGGAGACUACAUUGUAGAUCCUGAGUUCUACUUUGGAGGACCUGGAAGAAAUCACUUGUGCCCUUAAACUCUUGUAACAGAUUCUAGCUACAAACGGAUGCUUGCUGAUUUGCCACCACUUUCUUGGGUGGCAAGCUAAUAUUUUAGAUGCUUCUUAAUUUUGAUUAUUUGCUACUUCUUGCAAAACACGACCGGUCAUAUUUGAAGAUUUGAUAAUUCAGCUACUCAGUGGUCCGCAAGAAUAAAUUCUGCGAAUAAUCUCUUUUGGAUGCUGCACCAUAAAACACAAUUAGCCAGUAAACAUCAGAAUAAGUGGAGCAAAGUAUAAAUGGAAAUACAAAUGUCAGCUUAAUGUGGAGUUUUGACGCUUCCUUUGUUGUUUUUGCCUAUUUCUUGCAGUUUUAUCCAGAGCUUUCCUUUUUCCCUUUUUUUUUUUUUUUCCUUCUACCAAAUAUAACUUUCUGAAUCUGUAUAUUGGUCAGAAUUAGGGAACUUACAACUGAAAUAAUAACACCGCAAAUUAGACACCAUAUGUGGACUCUCCUAGUAAGACAACUUAUUUCCAUUUUGAGAAAAACUUCUGCUGGUGUCUUUGGUUUAGAAUAUUGCUUAUAAAUCAUUUGGCUGAUAAGCAAGGAGUCUAAAUUGAAAUGGAAACAAUAUCAUAGCUUUCCAAAUCAACCUGAAGCAUGGUUAAUACACCCCAAUGCAUUAUGAUAUUAUAUAAUUGUUAUGUUGAAGAUGAAACUGUCAUUGGCUUCAUACUUGCUUCUGAAACAAAAAUGGAGAAUGCCAAAACCAUUUCUGUGCUUUUGCUGGUAACGUUUGUAUCUGUUUUGGGAAAUGGAGUCGAUAGUAAACUUAAAGCUGGACAAACUAUUUCUGAAAUUGAUAGGAGACUGAAGCUUCUCAAUAAGCCUGCAGUAAAAAGUAUUAAGGUAUGUCACAUGCUACUAGUCUAGUACCCCUGGACAAUUUUCGUCACUUAUUAUGUUGGCACUCUAAUGUAAGAGAUUGUUCCCGUAGAGUGAAGAUGGAGAUAUUAUAGAUUGUGUUGACAUCUACAAACAAUCUGCAUUUGAUCAUCAAGCAUUGAAGAACCAUAAAAUUCAGGUGCAUUUAUUAUUAUUCUUACCCCUUCUAUGAUUUGGAGAACAUUUGUUUUCUGAAAAAUGAAGCCUUAAGUGGACUGUCUUCAUUCAUGUAAUAAGCAGCUGAAACCUAGUGUUGAUCUACUGUCGGAGGAAUUGGAUAGAAGGAACGAGUCUCCGCGGCCUGUAAUGAUGCAAACUUGGCAAAAGAGUGGAAGUUGCCCAAAUGGAACUGUUCCCAUUCGCAGAAUCCAGAGGGAAGACUUAUUGAGAGCAGCUUCUCUUGAAAAUUUUGGAAGAAAAGCCCCGGAAAUUCCCUCUUCAGCAAACAAAACAAAUGUUAAAGAAACUCAGUUUAUGUCUUUCAACGAUAGCAAACCAUUAGGAUUUCCUCCCAUAGUUAACCGUUCUGUAAGCCCUCUUUAAGCAGCUGCCAUGUUUUUUUGCCCUUUUUUCAUUUCCUGAACAUAUUUUUUUGUUGCUUAACUCCUAAUUUCUUGAUACACUUCCUGAACCAGGCUGCAUUACUUGUUACAGUCGGAUACAAUUAUAUAGGAGCUCAGGGAGAUAUAAACGUUUGGAACCCAAAAGUUGACUUACCAGAUGAUUAUACUACGGCUCAAAUCUGGCUUAAGGGUGGCCCUGGUGACAAUUUUGAAAGCAUAGAGGGAGGAUGGGUGGUUAGUGCAUUUACCAAAAACAAACAAAAAAUGCCAACAGUUCUAUAUCUUUAUGCUUUGCUCCUAAUCUUAUUAUAAACUGUUUUCCAGGUAAAUCCCAAGUUAUAUGGUGAUAAACUCACGCGUCUAUUUGUGUAUUGGACAGUAAGUACACCAAUUAUCUGCGCAAAAAAAAAAAAAAAAAAAAAAANNNNNNNNNNNNNNNNNNNNNNNNNNNNNNNNNNNNNNNNNNNNNAAAAAAAAAAAAAAAAAAAAAAACUCAUCCCAUAAGUGGAUGACGGUACUUAACUACUUGUUCCAUGCAUGUUCAUCUUAUAUUUGUUUCCAGAGGGAUGGCUACAAAUCGACAGGUUGCUUUGACGCCAUUUGCUCUGGGUUUGUGCAAACAGGACAAAUAGCCCUUGGCGCAACCAUUAGCCCCAUCUCCAGUUCUGGAGGAUCCCAAUAUUAUGUGACUGUUGGCAUAUCCCUGGUAAUAUUUUAAAUUACAUUUUUCUUCCUUUUUGGAUGCUACUAUGUAUGUAAACUCCAUGUCUGUUGAUUUUCAGGAUCCUAACUCAGGAAAUUGGUGGUUAAAACUUAAUGGUAACGUUGUUGUUGGCUACUGGCCUGGAAGUCUCUUUGGUUACCUAAGUCACAGUGCUACAAUAGUGGAGUGGGGAGGACAAGUUUAUAGCCCAAAUGUGAAGAAAACUCCUCAUACAAAAACUGCCAUGGGCAGUGGAGAAUUUUCACAUAGUCUUCAAGGUUCUGCUUGUUCAAUAGAGCACGUUCGAAUUAUAGACUAUUCUCUUCAGCUCAAGUACCCUCAAUGGGUGGGCACUUGGGCUGAUGAAUAUUAUUGCUACGAUGCAUAUAAUUUUGUUGAAGGAUACACAACUGAACCAGUGUUCUUCUUUGGAGGGCCUGGCCAAAAUCCUAAUUGUAAGUGAGAAUCAUGAUUUAAAGCAAAAGCGUUACGUACUCAUUUCAAUGUAACAAAGUAAUUUUCACAGCUCCCCAACUGUAGCUAUACAUCAAAGUAUCCACUCAUUUCAUAUUGUUGCUGUGAAGUUUAAUGGAGCUGAUGUGCCAAAAUCGGAUCCAUUAUGGUAGAGUUUACAUUUUAGAUUGGAGUGGGAAUUCUGAAGAGUGAGAAUCUUGAAAUUAAAAGCGUGGAAUGAGAGUGAGAGUAUGUUAUUUACUUACACUUGAGUGGGAGUAUGAAAUUGUCUUGGAUUGGUAGUAAAUAAUUUAAAUUACAGUUUUACCUUUAUUUAAAGAAUUAUAAUUUUUAAUUACAAAAUUAAUAAAAAUAUAUUUGAAAAAUAAAAUAUUUAUUUUAUUAUAUUUAUAAAUUAAUAAUAAUUAUUAAUAUUCUUAAUUAUGUAAAUCAUAAUCUUUUAUUAAUUUUAAUUUGAAUUAUGUAAAUACAAAAUUUUUAAUAAUAACACAAAUGAAACAUUAUUAUUGAUAAUCUNNNNNNNNNNNNNNNNNNNNNNNNNNNNNNNNNNNNNNNNNNNNNNNNNNNNNNNNNNNNNNNNNNNNNNNNNNNNNNNNNNNNNNNNNNNNNNNNNNNNNNNNNNNNNNNNNNNNNNNNNNNNNNNNNNNNNNNNNNNNNNNNNNNNNNNNNNNNNNNNNNNNNNNNNNNNNNNNNNNNNNNNNNNNNNNNNNNNAGCAGUAUUUUAUUUUAUUAAAUCUAAUAAAAUAAGUAUGUUUAUUAUUAUUUUUAAUAAAUGUAAUUUAUAAUAUAAUAUAAUAAUAUUAUUUAAAUAAAUAUGAUGUUAUUUAUUUUAUUUUAUUAAGAGAAAUUAUUAGUCAUAUACAUAUAUUAUUAUUUUUAAUAAAUAUAAUUUAUAAAAUAAUAUAAUAAUAUCAUUUAAAUAAAUAUUGUUAACUUCCGUUAGAAAGUUAACAGAAUUGUGACAAAUUGACUAUUUUGCCCUUGAAACUCAAAAUGAGGUAAAAAUAUAAAUUUACCCAAAAAAUUAACGUAAAUUUUCAAUACACAAUUUUUUUUUAUUUUUUUUAUUAACAAUACAUUUUUUUGAUUAAAAAAAAGAAUUAUUAAUGGUACAUAAUAUUAACAAUUAUCCAUAAAAAAAUAUCCAUAUUAUACCAUAAAAAAUUAUUAACAAUAUAUUAUUUACAAUUAUACAUAUUAUACCAUAAAAAUUUUUAGUUGGAGCUUGGAGGAGUAGAUCUUCAAAAAUUUAGGUUAAAUUUCAGAGAAGUAGAUUCGGUUGUAAAGUAGUUUUUUUUAGUAAUUAUUAACAAUUAUCCGAUAAAUGGGAUGACAUGUCAUUUUUAUCAAUAUAUAUGAUAUGACAUGUCAUUUUUUACUAGGUAAAUAGGAUGACAUGUCGUUUUUUUAAUCAAAGUUUCGUCAAUCUUAAAAGACUAAAUUACCCUUAUGAUGUCAGCGCUUGCAAACGGAAGUUAACGGAUUGGUGGACGGCAGAAAUUUUUUGUCAACUUAGGGUAUACGAGUGAUACACUUGAAAAGUGUUCACACACGUUUGAUACGAGUGUCAUUUAAAUGUAUAUGAUUGAUAAUUUUCCUUUUAUUAAAUAUUAUUUAUUUUAUUUUAAAUAUAAGGAUAAAAAGGGAAGAGGGGGGAGUGGAUUCAAUCCACUCUCUCCUUAAAAAUUGUAAGUAAAUAUUAGAGUUGGAGGAAUCCAAACUUCUCACUCUCACUCCAGAAAAUAAACACUACAUAUAAGCAGUGCAAUCUAAUAUAUUUUAAAGUAACUAUCAAUUGUCAAUUUGAAGGGUGAAAAAAAUGAAUGGAAAAUACUUCUUUUUUUUAUGUUUGCUUUCGGAGAUUUGCAGAUGCAACAGAGGGGAAUCAAUUGAGAAAGCAAUUCUUUAAUUGUAAGUCAAAAACUUUGUUCUUUUGCCUAUUUUUGUAGGUGUGUUCGUACUCACAACUCAAACGUUAACAAUGAACUAAUAACAGAUAUCUCAACAAGUUUAUCACAAAUUAGUUGUCAUGAGAUGUGGCAUUAAUUGAGUGAUUAUGAUUUUGCACUAUUUUUAAUCCGCCAUUUUACCCUCCACUUGAAGAAAUGAAACCCACGUGAGUUUAGGAUAAACUUUUAGGAUAACUAGCAUUCUUAAACAUUAAUAACACAAUAUAUAUUAAGGAAAUAACUUUUAAGACCUCCGAGGGAAUUAUCCCUGAAUAAGGCAAUUUUGUAUUCCAUUUUUAGAAAAAGAAUAAAUCAGUUGGAUUUGGGUUUGUUUGGAUAAAAUAACUUGAUUGGAACUUUGCAAGAACCCACCUGCAAUGGAAACAAAAAUUUGACUUUUCAAAUGAACUUGAAGCAGGGUUAAUGAGCAAUAAAUAUUACAUAAUUGCACUUUGGAAAAUGACACUUUUGCUUUACAGUGUUUGUGUCAUCAGGAAAUUUCGAUUUUCCAAUCACUCUUGAUGCUUUUGUUUCUGCCGCCAAAGCUGCUUUUGUAACAGAGCAAAAAUGGAGAAAACAGUUUAUUUGUUUUUGUUGUUUGGGGCUAUAUCUACCCUGUGUAAUGGAGUAGAAGUGAACGCUAAAGCUAGAAAAACUCUUCCUGAAAUUGACAGGAAGUUGAAGCUUCUCAACAGGCCUGCAGUAAAAAGCAUUAAGGUAUAAGUGAGUAAUGGUAUUUUACAUCCUUAAUAUUUAUUAAAAAAAAAAAAAUUCACUCUUGUUUUGGGUGGUUGGUAAUGGUAUUUUACAUCCUUAAUAUUUAUUUUACAUCCUUAAUAUUUAUUAAAAAAAAAAAAAUUCACUCUUGUUUUGGGUGGUUGGUACUCACUCCCUUAACUUUUGAGUUUUGCUACCAACCACUCUUGUUACUAACCAUUAACCCAGGAGUGGUUUCUGCUGUAAAUAUUUUAAUACUUAAAAAAAUAAUACUGGCUUGUCAAAAAAUUAAUAGAGCAUCAGCAGUUGUUUUUCCUUUUAAGACGCUGAAAAACUAGCAUUUAUGGUAGAGUUUAUCUUUCAUAGAGUGCACAUAAUGGGAUGUUUCCUUCUGUAGAGUGAAGAUGGAGAUAUUAUUGAUUGUGUUGAUAUAUACAAACAACCUGCACUUGAUCAUCCUGCAUUGAAGAACCACACAAUUCAGGUGCAUUUUAUCAUUUCUCUCUUCUUUUCCUGAGCUACUUAUGAAAGAUCAUGGUUAGAAACUUGCACUGACUACAAUUCUGUUAGAUUUUUACUAGUCUUGCUUCAUACAAUAUGCAGCUGAGCCCCAGUUUUGAUAUACCAGCCGAGAAAGUGGAUAGAAGAAAUGAGUCUUCUAGGCUGCCGGUAACAAUUCAAACUUGGCAAAAGAGUGGAAGUUGUCCAAACGGAACUGUUCCAAUUCGAAGAAUUCGAAGGCAAGAUUUAUUGAGAGCAUCUUCUCUUCAGCAAUUUGGGAGAAAAGUCCCUGAAGUAUCCUAUGCAGCUAAUAGAACAGAUGCUACACACAGCAAAUUUGAGUCUAUAAACAACAAAACGAUCCACCUUGGUCCUCUAGUUGACCGUUCAGUGAGCAGCUGUAGCUUUUUCAUGCCCUUAAUAAAUUCUUGUUGUUUCAAAUUCUCCUAAUUUUCUUGAUGGUACUAAGUACCAGGCUGCACCCCUUCUUACAACACAAUACAAUUGCAUAAAAGCUACUUCUAAUAUUCUCGGUUACAAUUCCUGAACCAGGCUGCAGUACUUGUUACAGUCGGAUUCAAUUACAUAGGAGCUCAAGGAGAUAUAAACGUUUGGAAUCCGAGAGUUGAAUCGCCAGAUGAUUAUACUACUGCUCAAAUUUGGCUCAAAGGUGGGCCUGGUGACAAUUUUGAAAGCGUAGAGGGAGGAUGGGUGGUUAGUACAUUUACCAAUAAUGUAAAUAAAAAUGCUAACAGUUCUACAUAUUUAUGCUUUCUUCCUAAUCUAAUUAUAAUUUUUUUUUUCAGGUAAAUCCAAAGUUAUAUGGUGAUAAACUGACGCGAUUAUUUGUAUAUUGGACUGUAAGUGUAUCAAUUUUCAUUAAAAACUCUCACCCCAGAAGUGAAUUGUGGUUCUUACUUACUGGUUCCAAACAUGUUCAUCUCAGAAGGAUAGCUACAAAUCGACAGGAUGCUUCGAUGCCAUUUGCUCUGGGUUUGUGCAAACAGGACAAGUAGCCCUUGGAGCAGCCAUUGGUCCUUGGUCGAUUUCUGAAGGACCCCAGUAUUAUUUGCCGGUCGGCAUAUACUUGGUAUGAUGGUAAUAAUUUUUUUUUCUUUCUUUUCCUUUAAUGCACCUAAAAAUGUAAAACUCCAUUUUUUUUUUCUUUUUCAAUUUCAGGAUCCUAACACAAAAAAUUGGUGGCUAAAAGUUAAUGGUAACAUUGUUGUCGGCUAUUGGCCUGGAAGUCUCUUCAGUUACCUAUCGUACAGUGCAAUAUUAGUGGAAUGGGGAGGACAAGUUUAUAGCCCAAAUGUGAAGAAAACUCCUCAUACAAAAACUGCCAUGGGGAGCGGAUCAUUUUCACAUGGUCUUCAGGGUUCUGCUUGUUCAAUCGAGCACGUUCGAAUUAUAGACUUUUCUCUUCAGCUCAAGUACCCUCAAUGGGUAGGCACUUGGGCUGACGAAUAUUACUGCUAUGAUGCUUACAAUUAUGUUAAAGGCUAUACUACUGAACCAGUGUUCUUCUUCGGAGGGCCUGGUCAAAAUCCUAUUUGUAAGUGAGAAUUAUGAAUUAAAGCAACAAGCAUAAUGAAAUCAGUGUAAUAUAACAUAGUGAUUUUCACAGCUCCUUAUCUGUUACUGUACAUCCAAUUGGUGAAAAACAUCAACGUAUCCGCUCCCUUCAUGAUGUUGCUGUGAAGAUUAAUGGAGCUGAUAUGCCCAAAACGGAUCCAUCAUAAGCUGUGAAAUCCAAAGUAUUUUUAACUAGUAAUCAGUUGGCAAUCCGAAGGUGCAAAGUAUGAAUGGAAUUGCUUAAGUAUGUUAGCUUUAGAGAUUUACAGAUACAACAGAUGGGAAUGAACUGAAAGAUAGCUAUUCUUUACAGAUAAUAUGUUAGCUAUGGAGAUUUACAGGUACCUGACUGAUAAUGUACACGGGGCAUAAGAUUGCUAAGGUGAAAACUAACAUGAGGAGAGGAUCCUAUCCGCUAUAGGUGUAUUCGCACUAACAAUUCUCUUAUCACAACAUAUAUUAAGGAGUAAGUUUUAAGAUCUGUCUGGGAAUUCUUCCUGAAUAGACAAAUUUGUCUUCCAUUUUUAGAAAAAGAAAAAGAAAAUCCACUGCUUUUGUUUGGAUUAGGCUACCUUAUUAAAUAACUUGCCUGGAACUUUGCUAGAACCAACUUGAAAUGGAAACAGAAUUAAAAGAUUAAUCGACUUUCCAAUAACUUGAAGCAGGGUGUUUGAACACCAAUGAUUAUUUAAUUGCACCUUGAAGAUGAUAAUUUAGCUUUACAAUAUCUUCGUCAUCUGGGAUUUUCCUACAAGUCCUGUUGGCUUUUGUGAGAAAGCACAUAUGGAGAAAACAGUCUGUUUGCUUUUGUUUAUAGUGGCUGCAUCUAGUUUGAGUAACGGAGUAAAAGUGAAUGCUAAAGCUAGAGAAACCCUUUCUGAAAUUGACAAGAAGUUGAAGCUUAUCAACAAGCCAGCAGUAAAAAGUAUCAAGGUAUGGCAUACAAUAAAUAUUUAGAUCUUAUCAAGUUCUAAACUUGGGAGGCCAAUGUUGUAUCAAUGAGUCCAAAAGUGAUUAAGGGUGGUUUUUCUUCUUAAACUUGUAGUAUUUAAAAAUCCCACUGGCUUGUCAAAUGUUUAAUAGAGCGUUGCUGGGCAGUUUUUGUUAUUAAGAUAGUGAAAGAAUAGCAUAUACGGUAGCCAUUUUCUUCCAUAAAGUGAUGAGUUCUUUAAUAACAUAAUGUGAUGGUUCCUCCUGUAGAGUGAAGAUGGAGAUAUUAUCGACUGUGUUGAUAUCUACAAACAGCCUGCGUUUGAUUAUCCAGCAUUGAAGAACCACACGAUUCAGGUACAUCGAUCAAUUCAUUUUUCAAUUUCCGAGCCACUGGUGAAAAGAACCAAAGGUAGAAAGUUCCCUUUCUAUCAAAAAUACAAAGAAUUUUGCACUUGCAAGAACUUUGGUUAUUUUCUCACUUGUCUUUGCUUCAUGUUAUAUACAGCUGAGGCCCAGUUUUAAUAUACCAUCUGGGAAAUUGGAUAGAAGAAAUGAGUCUUUUAGACCAGUAGCAGUCCAAACUUGGCAAAAGAGUGGAAGUUGUCCGAAUGGAACUGUUCCAAUUCGAAGAAUUCGAAGACAAGACUUAUUGACAGCAGCUUCUCUUGAGCAGUUUGGGAGAAAAUUCCCAGAAAUUUCCUAUGCAGCCAACAAAACAGAUGCUAAACACAGCAAAUUUGUGUCUCUAAACAGCAAGACAGUCAAUCUUGAUCGUCUGGUUAACCGUUCAGUGAGCAGCUAGAGCUUUUUCACGCCCGUAAUUAAUUUCCAUUGUUUAACUUCUCUUAAUUUUCUUGACGGCACUUCAUGUACCAGGCUGCAGUCCUGCUUACAGUAGGAUACAAUUACAUAGGAGCUCAAGCAAAUAUAAAUGUCUGGUGUCCAAACGUUGAAUCAACAGAAGAUUAUACCACUGCUCAAAUCUGGCUUAAGGGUGGGCCUGGUGACAAUUUUGAAAGUGUGGAGUCAGGAUGGAUGGUCUGUACAACUACCCAAAGCAUGCUUCACAAAACAGUCAAUGCUAACAAUUUAGCAUCUUUAUAUUUUUCUCUAACUUUACUAUAAUCUCUAUAUUCAGAUAAAUCCCAAGUUAUAUGGUGAUAAACUCCCACGAUUUUUUGCAUACUGGACUGUAAGUAUAUUUUCUACUAAAGCUUCUCUAAACUACUUUGGAUUGCAAGUACAGUAGCUAAUUUGUUCCAUGUCUAUCUCAAUUUUUUUAGAGGGAUGCUUACAAAUCAACCGGUUGCUUCGACCUGACCUGCACUGGUUUUGUGCAAACAGGCACUCAGAUUGCCCUUGGUGCAUCCAUUAGUCCUUGGUCUAGUACUGCCGGACCCCAGUAUUACAUUCCCAUUGCCAUGUCCAGGGUAACAAUUUAUAUCUGCUUUUUCUUGGUUAAGUUGAUUGUUUGAAGUUAUAAAUCAGCAGUAAAUAUUUAAUGAAGUCCAUUUUUAUUGAUUCCAGGACCCUCAAACAGGAAAUUGGUGGUUAAUGUAUGGCGAUGCUGUUAUUGGGUACUGGCCUGGAGCUCUCUUUGAUUACCUGAAGCAAAGUGCAAUCUUUGUUGAAUGGGGAGGGCAAGUCUACAGUCCAAAUGUGAAGAAAACUCCACACACCAAGACUGCUAUGGGCAGCGGAUCAUUUGCAAGUUCGCUCUACGGAUCAGCGUGUUACAUUGACCAUAUUAGAAUCAUUGAUUAUUCUCUCCAGCUCAAGUACCCGCAAUGGGUAGGCACUUGGGCUGAUGAAGAAGAUUGCUAUGAUGCAUAUAAUUUAAUUCAAGGAUAUACUGUUGAACCUGUAUUCUUCUUUGGAGGGCCUGGUCAAAAUCCUCACUGUAUGUAAUGUGAGGAUAAGAAUGAAAAUGAAACGAAAUAUUGCAGUGCAAUCUUGCUAAUCGCGGAAGUUAAUUAUUUGCAAGAAAGUUGUGAUCUGUUUUCUUCCUUGUAUCAAUGAGAACAUCUAAAGUCAUGUUGAAUGGAUUGAUUUUGUGGGAAGAAAAGGAAGUUCUGCCAUAUGAAGAGAAGAAUAAAAAUGGUGCUUUCUCAAUGACCCCUGCUGUAUUUCCAUAUAUAAAAAUAAUCCCCACUUAGAGGAAUCUGAAUAGUCAAAGUAAAUCAAUAAGGUUUCGUUAGCAAUAGGUGAGUGAUUUGAAUUUGCAAUGGCUGCCACUAUUUCAAUCCACUGUUGCUUGCAUUUGACUCUAGUUAUCACCGGUCUCAUGUUGAUUCAUGGAUUUGCUAAAGAGAAAACUGCAAUGAUAAAAAACAAAGAGAAGCUUAUCAAGCAUAAACAUGCUUUUAAGUUUUAAAACCAUUUCAGGUUGUGAUUACCAUAACUUUUUUCUCAAUUCAUUUGGUAGGAUGAUUUCAUAGGGAUGUAUUUGCUUCUCGAAAAUGGGGUUAGUGUCGACUGCAUUGACAUCUACAAACAACCGGCUUUUAAUCAUCCUCUUCUCAAGAAUCACAAGAUACAGGUUUCUUGGUUUUAUAAGUACUUGGUGCAAAUUUAUAAGCACAUAUGGUAAACCCCUUCGAAAUUGCUAUUAUUUCAAGUGACUAGUACUCGGUAAAUGCUCUUGUUUCUGAUUUUCCUUAGAGUAAUUAACAGAUGAAGCCUACUUCACACCCAGAACAAAAGAAAUCUAUGGCCUCCAAAAAUUCCCACACACAGCUUAUUCAACUCAAGGCAGUCGACUGUCCAGAAGGAACAGUCACCAUUUUAAGAACUCGCCAGAUGGUAAUCUUAUGGACACUCGAUCAAGCAGAAGUGCCACCUAUGGAUUCGGCUUUAACAGCAAUGAAUAUGAGGUUAAAUAUAACAUGUAACAAUGAAUAAUGCCGCCUAUAAUACUUUUCACAUUCUGCUAAUCAUUUUCGUUGAUGCAGACUUAAAUAUUGCUGAUGCUGGAUGGAUAUGCAUUCAUGGCUUCAACGUAUACAUUUUACGCAUAUGGAACCUUUGAUACAUGCUCUUCCAAACUGGAUAUGAUUAAAUAUGUAGAAUGUUGAUUUUAAACAAAGAGAACAGAACACAGAGAAAUUGGGGCUGUUAAUUGCAUGUCAUUCAUUGUUGCAGUAUCUGAAUUUAUUCAAAGAAAAGAAACAAACAAAGCCAAAAAAUCUGCCUACAUAUCUUUAACAUAUAUCUGAUAUCAUAAAUUCAAAAACAAAUUGUUCCUACAAUCUUGCAGGAUAUUAUUGACAGCAUAAUCAUAUCUUUGCUGUUUUUAUUUUUGCUCAAAUCCUGCAGCAAAUAUAGCAUUGUCAUCAUAGAAAUAUUGAACCAGAACUUGGAGCAUAUUUCGUCGCUCUUAUUAUUUUGAUCAUAGUCUAAUUGACUGUUUAUGGGUAUAUUUUUUUCGCGUUUUUAGGUGAAUCCAACACUAUAUGGAAACAACCUUUCACGGCUAGUUGCAUUUUUGACAGUGAGCUUUAAUUAUCAUAGAUUCUCUUAAUCAUAUAAAUUGUCAAUGUUUUUGCUUAACAUGCAUGUUAAUUUUCCAUAUUGUAUGUCAAAUUCAGAAAGAUAAAUUCAGCAAAACAGGUUACCAUGAUCUCAAAUGCUUUGGUUUCGUUCAAGUGUCCAGUACACAGUAUCUUGGCUGUGUACUAGAGCCUGUUUCUGAAGAUGGUGAUUACAACCACCAAUAUGAAGUUUUUAUUGCGAUUUACAAGGUAAUUUACUCAUGCUUUACGCCAUAAAAUUGCAUGCUCAAAAAAAUUAGCAAGUGUUUCAGGAUAUAGGCUCGAGAAGUUCGUGGUUAAGAUAUAAGGUGUAAGCAUCGGAUACCGCCCAACUACAAUUUUCACAAAACUGGCAGACAGAGCCAACAGGGUGGUCUGGGGGUGUAGAGUCUACACAUUCCAGCAAAAAUGGGCACACAUUAAAAACAAGGCGGUCUGGAUGCCAUGCUUUUUUUUAUUUGAGUCUACAAGGAGGAGAAAAAAACGACCGGGGCAGUUUCUUUUAUUAUGGUAGUUUUGCAGCUUGGUAUGAAUGCCAAUAACAUAUAUAAAAAUAUUUGGUAAUUAAUGUGACAUGCUUACGCCUGCAGUUAAAUAAAUUUGUCAAGAAAUUCCAAUAGCACAGCAUAGUAAAGGCUCAGUUCAUGAUAAGUGUUUGUAUUGCUACAGAUGUGACAAGCCUACAACAUACGAGGGAAGUCAGUUUUGUGGACUUGGCUAUGUUGCAACUGUAGUACCGUGCCACAAUUGCAACUCAUUAGAUCCACUUGGAUCCACUGUUGCAACCCUCAUCCAAGUGGAUCCAAUGGCUGGUUGCAACUGUGGCACGGUACUACAGUUGCAACAUAGCCGGACCCCAGUUUUGUCAGUGGAAAAACUGUCGUCCCCUUCCCUUAUGGAGAGAUCUAUCCCUCUGCCUAGGAAUAAUCUUAAACACAAAAAUAUUUUCAUACUAUACAGACUUCCUGUAUCCUUCUAGAGAUACCUACAUAUGAAUAAGAAUUAUAAUCACAAUCCAUAAGAGAAAAUACAACAUAUCACACCAAAAAAGGAGAGCAGGGAAGGACCAAG
rnacentral:lncRNA from 1 species